CCACGCGAUUUCUUUUACUUAAGGAUGGAAAACUUUGUGAAGGGGGAGGUGGUGGAGGUGGAGGUGGAGCAGGAGGUGUUUGAGAAGAAUGUGGUGGUGGAGGUGGAACAGGUGGUGUUCGAGGAGGUGGAGGUGGAGGUGGAACAGGCGGUGUUCGAGAUGAAGGUGGUGGAGGAGGUGGAACAGGUGGUGUUCGAGAAGGAGGUGGAGGUGGAACAGGCGGUGUUCUAGAUGGAGGAGGUGGUGGAGGUGGAACUGGCGGUGUUCGAGAUGGAGGAGGUGGCACUGGCAGUGAUCGAGGAGGUGGAGGAGGUGGAACAGGUGGUGUUUGCACCCGCGCAACACUGUGUGAAAAUGUAGGCAUCAAAGACGGGGUGUCUGGAUAUUCCAUCGUUGCACUGUGCUUGUUAUCUAGAAACUGCGGUUGAGACAACGAGACUUCAGGUUCAUUAAGUAGUGUAGAAGGCAGAGGUGGUGAUCGUGGCCGUGGAGAGGAAAAUGGUGAUUUUGCCAAAGCUGGGGGCAGAGGCGGGAGCGGUGGAGACCGAGCUCUCUUUGGUGGAGCUGAAAUUACAGAUACAUCAUAUGGAUUUGAGCUUGAAAAUGGCGCUGAUGGUGGUGGGGGUGGUGGAUGUGGAGGCUGAUGUGGUACAACUUUUUCUAUAGUGAUUUUUACCUCUUCACCGUGUGUCAAAGGAAACAACAUCAUGCCUGAUUUUGGUGGAGGCGGAGGUGGUGGUGGCGGCGGUGGUGGGAUAGUUUCAGAUCUUGUCGCUUGAAUUGCAAAGGGCCUAGUGUCUGGAUUUUGAGGUACUGCAGGCAAAUCCGUGAAGGGAGAUGCUCUUGUAUUGCUUAAUUCCUCAUCCAGUGACGAUGAAGCAGCUGGUGACAGUAAUAAAUCAUUGGGACCUGUAGCACUAUCAGUUUGUAAUUUCCCAUGAGUUUCGUAGGAAGGUUCUUGUGAUUUAACCAGCUCUUCGGUUCUCAAAAUAUCUUUAGGAGGGACUGAUGGUUCUGAAGGUGGCGAGGAAUGCACGGUUGCUCUAAGGGAAAUGUUGAUGGUACUUGUGCUAGUAUUUUUGGGUAACUUAGCGGGAACAGGGAGCAAUGAGACAGUGGGUGGAGGGGGAGGAAGAGGAGGUGGUGUGCACAAAGGUAACAGAGAUGCUGUUGAUGCUGGUCUGUUUUCCAUCAGAGGGGAAGGUUCAUGUUCAAUUGGAGUUUGUGAACAAGAUCUCUCAGUUGAUGCUAGUUCUGAUAUCUCUACUUGGACUGCAGAGUCAGACAUUGCUCGCCGAGGCUGAACCGGUGAAGAUGAUUGUUGUGGCAUGAUUGUACUUGAAGACAGUUCCAUUGGUGAAGCACUGGUUUUUGAAAUCUUAACCUUAGAAGGUGAUAACAAUGCUGUGGUGGGUCGCGUUCGCGAACGAGAUGGCACUGUGGUUUGUGAUUUGGAUUGAACAUCAGCUGAACUUGAAUCUUGGGGGAUAUGUCUCGGUUUACUGCUAACCAGCAUACCCAAUUCAUUUCCGAUCUUCAGAACAACACUAGAUGAAUUAAUUUCACCAGGAAAACUUUCAGAUUCAAGUUCUUCAUGAGUAUCAAAGAAAGUCUCAGGUUCAUCGGUAAUGGCUGAGAUCUUUAGCUGGGCUGUGUGAGUUAUAGUAUCCUUCUUCCCAUCAAACCAGUCCAGAUGGUUAAAGAUAUCUAGCACCUUAGCAAACUCUUCAACCCCAAGUCCUUGUUUCUCUUGAUGAAUAACAGGCUCUGUUGUGACAUGUGAAGUAACUGCGUCCAUAUCGGAAAAGAUAACCUACCAUCAACAGAAGUUGCAUGUAAAAAUCCAUGUACUGCAGGAAUAGUCUAGUUCGCCACUUGGCAUAAACACUUACCUCAAACCGAAAAUCUUUAGGGAAUUGGUCUUUUGCAUUCCACAACAUGUCUACAUGAUCACGGUUAAGCAUCAAGAUGUUUGACCGGAUGAAUGCUGUAUUGAACAUGAUUCGGCAAACCAUCUCUUCACGAUCCAGAUCCUCAUACAAAUUGAUACACUCUAGGACAACAUCACCUUGGACAUGACAAUGAAGGUCUAUUUUCACCAGUUCAUCUGCCUAAGUUCAGAAAUGGUCAAUUCCUUUUCUAGUGAAGGUUACCAAGGAAGAUUAAAAUCUAAAAAAUAUUCGAAUUUUAUAUUUCAAGAGAUUUAUGACAUGGAAAACUAUUAUACAAGACAGUGCAGUAGCUAACAGCUUAAAAGCAGAACAACGAAUUACCCGGUAGAAGACAAUUACCUGUGAGUAAAAACGGACAAGGUUGCUUUUCGUUGGAGUUGAAAAAAGAACUUUUGGAGUCUGAUCAGGGGGCAUGAGUGGAUCCGGGCCGUAUAUCCUGAAUAUUGGACGGAAGCCACCUUGGCCGUGAAAAUUUGGAACCAUCCUCAAAAUAACACAAUCUAAGGUGAGGGCUCUAUCAGCUGGAGGCCACUCAGGCAUGACAUUCCUCGUCGAGAUAUAGCGCAAAUAUCUCAUUUGAGAAGGCAUGGAAUUCAGAGGUGAAAACAUCUCCAAAAGCUCCAAAGACGAUUGCUUGUAGACCAUAUCCAGUGUUUUCUGCUCGUCGGAAUAAUGCCCCAGGUAUAUUAGAAGAGCAGCUAACAUGAAAGCCAGAACAGGCCAGCUCCCUCGUUCGCAGUGCAUUAGCAGUAAGUUAUGCUGACCCAAGGAAAGCCAGCUUUCGCUGGACUUCAAGAUGCAGUGGAUCAUUUCCAUGGUGAGGAGUGGACAUCCCUCAUAGUGGCCAGGGUAGUCCAAUACAGUCAUACCAUACUCAGACAAAAUAUGGUAUAUAGGGCUUUCUUCCUCUUUAGUCCCAAAAUUCGCGAUCAUGAAUGAGUAGUCGUGAAAAUUUUCCAGAAGAUCUGCUGCAAUGCCUCUAAUGUGAGCUUCAAAAUGGUCACCAUCCACCUCUUUCAUGGAGAAGCAAUGAUCAAAAACUGAAACAAAAUUUAAUAAUAUGAGUCAAGCAUGCUAAAGCAAGUGUAACUCCAUGUGGCUAUAUCACUUGCUACUGAUGGUACAUGUUCUUUUUUUUUCUGAGCGAGAUACAUGUAAUAUUGUUACCAUCAUAUGCGCCUUAUGAAGUCAUGAUUAAUGUAAAAUUUUUAGUGUUUAAGCAACCAUCCAUCUUUCAAUCAUUCUGUAGUUCUUUGGACAAAUCUUAAAGCAUUCUAGAUGACCAUGGUGAUGGUAAUAAAUGUAACUACAUAUACUAGUGCAUUUGCAUAAAUAUUUUUUUAACAACUAAAAAGGAAACCUUUUCUGAAAGAGUGAAAAAAAAAUCGAAGCAAUUGAUCUCGAUUAAAUCGUAAGCAGAUAAAUAUGAUAUCUAAAAGGACCACUAAAACUUCCUAACUCUUUAAUACACUCGUGAUACACCCAAAACUGACACUUUGAGAGCAAUUGCUAGUGAAUGCUCGGAUUAUUCUGAUUGCAUCUCCCAAAGCUCAUCACAGCUCAACUAAAUCAAGCUUAGACAAUGCAAAUAACGCCAUGACAGUCGAAUUGAACUAUUUCUUGCACUAGGCUGCUAGCCUGCUAGGGGCCUAGGGCACAAGCACAACAAGCAUUUGUCUACUGGACGCAACUAAAGAAAGGCACGGGGAAAUGCAAAUGAAGAACUCCGUUACCGUAGAUGUUAUCUGUGAUGAGGAGCAGCCCAUCGGGCGGCUUCUUAUAGAAGAACUUCCGGAACAGCGACAUGGCGCGGCAGGACCAACAGCUCCAAUCUCCGGAUCACUUCUAUUCGCAGGAACUCCAAGAGCUGGCUCGACUCAACUCCAGCAAUCGAUUCGGUUCAAUCUUUCGCAAUACAGCUGAAGGAUACGCUACGCCGAGAAUCCUGCCCCGCCGAACUCAAUAGCUUGCCCAGGCCGUGCGGAUUUGGGUUUGCGCCGCUAAUUGCUGCGAUGUACUGUAGCAGGAAGAUUACAGGCAGAUAGGAAAGAGCUGCUACUGCUCCGGCUCCGUUGAAUCUCUUGAAGAACUCCGACGAGGGUUUCGAAUCGGAGCGCGCAGGGAAAAGGCAGGCGUAUUUCAGUUGGCAAUUUGAGAAAUGAGAACUGGUGAGAGGAGAGAGAUUGGAGUUGGGCGGGGUCGAAGAGAAGGCAGGAGGAAGACGAUAAGCGGUGGCGUUUGACCACAUUUACUUAAUUAUUUUAUUUAUUAUUAAGGCGCAGCUGUUAUUUUGUUUUUUCCUACUAGUUGCUGCUUGACUCUACCUUUGGCUGCUUAAUUCUUUAUUGUUUCGUCAAAAUGUUUUUUUUAAAAAAAAACUGAUACUCCUACUUCAUUUGAUAAGAAUAUUUCCAGAUCGAGCAGCUAUAUGAACUGAAGAACUCUCCGGUUCUUCAAUUUGGUUUACCAGCUCUAGAUUUUUAAAUCAUACUCUUGAGAUUUCAUAGAUUUUUCUCUGGAUUAUUCUUCAUUUUCAACAAUUAAUUGAUGAAAGGUACAUUGUAGAAAGGGUGUUCCUUGGGUGAAUAGCUUGUUAGCAGUUGCGUUGUUUUUAAAAACAAAUUGAUGUCGGUUUCUUGUAACAAGACCAAGAAGUGUCCGUUGCUUUCACAAUUAUUUUUCACCCUCCAAAAUCUGUCCUUUUUAGUUUCUAGCAAAAUAAAGUGAGAGAGGGUUUGUAGUUUAUAAUAACAGACAUAAUAACAAAUCAGAAGACAGUGACGUGCGAUUCGGGGAUCUGGAGUAGGGUCGGCAGUUGGUCGUUGGAUUUGCCGCCAAGUUCCGAACAAAACUUUUUUACUGGAAUCAUCAGUCCAGGCAGGACGUGCGAUUCGGGGGUCUGGAGCCAAAGCAAAACCAAAACUGAUUUCCUAAAAAAGAAAAAAAAAACUGAUUGCUUUGGACAAAAGAAAUGUUAAUGCAUUGGUACUAGAUAACAAUGGCUAGUGAAAUUAGUGGAUAAAUACUAUAUUAUUGUAUAAAAUCUACAGAGUGGCCAAAGGAAACUGUCAAUCUCGUUUUUGUCGUCAGGGGAGCUGGAAGCUCAAGUUACUGCACGUACUUACGUGCCCCGGUAGGUGGCUGACGUGAGACAUGACGAUGAUUGGCGGUGCCCGUGGUUGCCCAAAGUUUGGUUCAUGUGCAGCCCACAAGAUUGUGCUGUGCCCAAAGUCCCAACUCCCAAAGGGGUUGGAAGCACGUCACCUGCCUGCCGUGGUCGUAGUGCCGGCCGGCGUGCUGCUGUUCCUGCUCCUGCUGUGGAAUUUUCCUUCGCGGUGUGUAACGCCAUCGUGGGGCAUGCUAUCCUAGUCCGACGUGGCCUGGCCAUCGUGGCCACCUCUGCUGCCAUUUCGCAAAGCCUUCUCGAGGCCUCGUUUAGUUCCAAAAAAUUUUAUAAAAUUUUUCAGAUUUUCCGACACAUUGAAUCUUUAGAUGUAUGCAUGGAGUAUUAAAUAUAAACGAAAAUAAAAACUAAUUGCACAGUUUGGUCGAAAUUAACGAGACGAAUCUUUUAAGUCUAGUUAGUCUAUGAUUGGACAAUAUUUAUCAAAUACAAACGAAAGUGUUACAGCGCUUAUUUUGCAAAAAAAAAAAAAUUGGAACUAAACAAGGCCCGAGUUCUCGUGGCCAUCGGACGGUCCCGGGCGUCUAUCAACAACGACGCGCCACGCGCGUGUGUUGUCAAAAAAAGAAAAACGACUUGCGUGUGUUGUGCCAGAUUGCCAGGGACAGGCAAUCAUGGGCUAGGAUCAUUAUUGUCUGAAAAUUCCCCGUCGGCCGUCCCAGACUCGCAGCCUGCUGCAAGCUUGGGCGUGCGACGCGAACGAAGCUGGUGAAAUGUAGCGUGAGAAAGGAAGGUCCAGCCGACGAGCGGCAGAGUAGGCCAUUUGUUUCACGUCCGGCAAUUCCGCGGCGCCCCGGGCAGCGGGAGACGUCGUACGUAUCCACACCCAACCCAAUUAUGUAUGGACUCCGUUUCGUCGCUUCUGCAGCUUAGAGUUUAUCUUAAACACUACAAUAAAUAGUGCUUUAGAUGACGUUUUUUUACCAACUCAGUUAUGAAUUUGUGAUUAAAGCAUCUAACAUGGUGCUGACAUGGACAAUCCUAUGUGAACAGGUUGGACAUUGAGUGUAAAUAGGAAUGGUGGAAUCCACCUGUCGAUCUAGUUUAAAUAUACAAAAAAAAAUUUCUGAUCCUAGGUAUCGAACCUUGGAUCUCUUUCAAAAGACUCGGGAGUGGCGUAAAAUAAAUUUCACGCUCGGGUGCUCCGCGCCGCAGUCCGACAAAACACACUCGCCCCCACCAGUCUAGUGACCGACGCCACCUCUGACCUCCCCCACUACGGCCAGCUCGCCUCUGCCCCCUUCCCCUCCCCAUCGCAGCUCGCGUCGCAGCGCUGCCCCUUCAAACUGUUGUGGCUGCCUCCUCCCAGAGUUUCAUGACCCGCGAAGAAGCCGGCCACCCGCGAAGGAGGCGGCGGUGGCGGCGCCCCUUCUGCAACACCAUCUGGCGAACAACCUUGUCCCCCGGCGGCUUCAAGCAAGAUGAGCAGAUGCAAAACACACUAGUCCUUAGAAAUUUAAAUUUGAAUAAUGGGUCAAUUCUUCAUUGCACUUGGGUUAGCCUAGUAAUAUGGGCCUAAAUAGAAAAAACAACAAAACAUGAGCUUAGUGGGCAAACAAUGUGAAGAACAAAUGGGCCUCCUCCAUAAUGGGUUGGGGUAGGUUUAUGGCAAGGUAGCUGCCACAUCAAAUCCAUCAUCACCAAAUAAUGUGGCAAAUGCUGGCGUAUACCAAAUUCAUGACGUUUCAAUUCACCACUAUAGGCUUUGGCUAUUGUUGCUGACCAUGUAAUUCAUGACGAAAUAAAAUAGCAAUCGAUGAUGGCUCUAGUCGGUCUAGCAAAUGAAUGACGUGAGAUACAUGAUGGAUUUUUCGAUCAUCAUGGCAUGUUAACCGUGACGUAAUUUCGACUGUUUAUGACCAAAGUGAUACAAAGUUGUAAACGCAUAACCCAAACAAGGGUCAGCCCAGUGAUAUUAGUACAGUUUCUCAAGACCAGUGUUCAAAUGAACAUAGCAACAUAGAAGAUGUUAAAGCUUCAACAUCUCAAAACAAUGCACCUGUACAAGAAGUCUCAUGCACACUCCCAGAUCCAAUAUACUAAAUUUAUUCAAUAAAAUAAUAAAUAUAUCUUAUCAUUUCCAUUUCCACGGUGGGGUGAUGAUGACAUGACAAAUAAUAUGGCAACAGAGCUGCAAUGUUCGAAUUCCACCAGCAUUGGUUACGUCUUAGAUAAAUGGUAAGUUGAAUAAAUUGAAGUACUAGGUGCCAAUAAAUCUUAUGAUUCAUUUCAUCUUGAUGGUAUUGCAUGAGUUUUCUUUGUUAAUAUUGAUGAUACUGGCUCUAGAUGCUUUUAUCUCAACCACCAAUAUUGGUUUAAAACCUCAGUAUAGAUUUAAAAUAUAUUCUGAAUUGCUGGUAUAGCAUUGUUCUGCCUCUCAAAACGGAUUUUAGUCGAUGAGACGAAUGUUGAUAGACCAUAUAUUUUCUUGGGGUGUUUAUUUUAUGUUUUGCAGUCAUGUUUCUAUCAUUUUUUGAUGUUUAAAUGUUUUAAGAUUAUGACUUCUGAGUUUCUGGUUUUUGAAUUGUACUCCCUCCAUCUCAAAUUGUAAGUCAUUCCAAAAAUCUUGAAGAGUCAAACUUUUCUAAGUUUGACCAAAUUUAUAUUAUAAAAUAAUUAUUAUAUGAUAUCAACUAAGUAUCAUUAGAUUCUUCCUUAAUUAUAUUUUCAUAAUAUACUCACUUUACGUUACAAAUCUUAGUAUUUUUCUCUAUAAGUUUGGUCAAACAUGAAAAUGCUUUGACUCUCCAAGAUUCAUGGAAUGACUUACAAUUUGGGAUGGAGUGAGUACAACUUUUUUUUUUUUGUUGAGACACUCAUGUCAUCUCAUUCCUAGGAAUGAGGAGUAUGACCGCGGAAAGAGGAAGAAGAUGAGGAAAUCCAUGCGAGACUUCAGUGGGGCCUUGUUUAGAAAACUGAAAAGUUUUCGAAACUGUAACACUUUCGUUUGUUUGUGGUAAAUAUUAUCUAAUCAUAGACUAACUAGAGUUAAAAGAUUCGUUUCGUGAUUUACAGUCAAACUGUGUGAUUAAUUUUUGUUUUCGUCUAUAUUUAAUGCUUCAUGCAUGUGCCGCAAGAUUCGAUGUGACAGAAAAUUUUGAAAACUUUUUGGAUUUUGGGGUGAACUAAACAAGGCCUCGGUCGAACCCUUUCCAAGAUGCGGAAAACAUCACAUCCCCGCAGCGGACAAGAUUAUAAGCAGACUAGGCCAUGUCUGGACACCAGCCACAGUAUAUGACACUGUAGAAGGCUACAAGCAGAUCGUUGUUGUAUCCAUCAUUUUUGCAAUUAUGUUUCCUCCUCUUUCUUUGUUUCUUCUAUUUUCUUGUGUGUGCCAUCGAAGAGCUUAGGCAGAUCAAUGGACAUUGGUUAUUUCCUACCUUUCGUAGUGGAGCGCAGUGAAAACUCGUUUGUUAUGUUCCGGUUCCUCUAACCAGGUGUAGUAUAUUCUACCGGGAGCUUUUCAUCGAUUUGGUCCGCAGGCAAACAGCUAUAUAUAGCAUUCAGAUACAAGGCAAAUGAAUUGGAAAAUUUGGAAACAGUAUGCAUUUGGAUGGGCGAGGUUAGUUGAACUUUGUAAACGACUGGUGGGUGUAUCCGUGCAUAUCUUGAAGACUUGAAGCUGAAGGGGUACGUGCCCUGCCGUUGAAAAUUAUCACAUGUUGGGUGGCAAACACAACGCAAUGACCUGCACAUGAUCCGGUUGAGAUGAGAACUCCCGCCAAGCAGUGUCGAUUGGAUUCCCACAGGACGGGGACGGACGACCAAUUUAUGGUGGCUCACGCGUUCCCUCUGACCGUUGGAGCUAGAGCGCGCGCACCCAACCACCACCACCACUCCUGCUUGGUCUGGGGCCUCCGUCCCCGCCAUCAUUCCCUCCCUCAACUAGCACCUUCACUCCAGUCUGGCUUUGCAGCGUUGAACUUUGCUAUUUACCGUGUGUUUGGUUGGGGGUUGAGUGAGUUGGGUUGGAUCCAACCCAGUUUUUGGAGACGGAGUCAACCCAUCCAGUGUUUGGUUGCAUUUCUGCUUUUGGGGACGGAGCCAACCUAUUUUAGUGUUUGGUUGAAGGAUUGGGGACAGAGCGGCUCCAUCCAGUGUUUGGAUGAAGGAAUUCAGUGUUUGGUGGGAGCCAACCCGGUUGGAGCGGCUCCGUCCGCCAGAUUUUGAGGGACGGGUCCAACCCGCAUCUGAGAGGAAUAUUCCACCCUGGAGCCAACCCAACCCUCCCAUCCUCCAACCAAACAGCCACGAGAAUGGGUUCGCUCCGACCCAGCUCACUCCGCUCUCCAACCAAACACACGGUUAGAUUUUAGAUUAGACAGGGGCCGGGGAUUUAGAUCCAAUUCCCUCGUAUAAGGCCAGUCUCAGUGGGGGUUUCGCCAGGAUGUCAUGCACACUUAUUAGAGCGUCAUGUCAGCAAAACUGCACUUUUUGUAUGAAACGAAGAGAAGAGAGAAGGAAGUAGUUUCACCAUGGUGAAACUCCGCUGGCGUUGUUUCCCACGCGGUGAAACAGAAUGAAAUCCCCACUGAGGACUAAAUCGUUUCACCAUCUUGCAUGUGAUCCAAUCAUUUUGCAGUAAUUAAAUGCGUUGCCCAGCCUAGGAAACAUCAAGGUGAAACUCAUGCAUCGUGGAGGUUGUUUCAUUGUUCGUUUCAUUGAUACUCUGUCAGCAGAUUUGUUUUGGAAACGGUGCAUUGAAAUGGACCAUUGAGACUGGCCUAAUUGUUUUAUAGGCAUAUAGUGCAUGCCAAACCGGCAAUGAAAACGCCAUCGUCCAGCACGCAAGACAUGCAUGCACGGCGACGCCGGUCCCUCAGACCACACUGUCGGAGCCAACGGGAUCAGGAAUUCGAAGGACCCCGGCGGCGAGCCGGCGACAUCGACGACGGCGGUUGGUAGCGCCGUAAAUGAAUACGGAUGCUCCUAGUCUACGCGCGCAAUUAUACGGAGAACCUACCAUCCAAUGGCCUCAUUUACACGGCCGCAGCGCAAAUGCCUCUCCGACUGUUCGAAUUCCACGCGCGUCAAAUGGCAAUCCCCCCAUGACCAUCAUCACCGCCCUCUAUAUAAAUUUACACCCACCGCACGUCCCGAUCCAUUCCAUUCCUGAACGCAUCGGAUCCUCCACAGAUACAGGCCGGCGUCGAAUCGCCUGAGCUGCUAGCCUGCUAUGCUACUCGAGCGAGGCACUCCGUCACCGAUGGCAGCGGAUGGAACCACCACGGCGCCGGCGCCACCGCGCAUGUCGGCCUCGUCGCCUCCCACCGUCGGGACGCUCCUCACCAGGGCCUCCGCGGCCCGCGACCGCGGGUGCUCCUCGCCGCGGUCCCUGCUGUCGCGCAUCCUCCACAGGGGCCGCGGCGGCCGCGGCGGCGGGUUCGGAUGCCGCAUCCGCCUCCUCCCGCGCUACUGCGCCAGCGCCAGCGCCUCGGAGGCCAAGGAGGACGCCGUCGCCGCCGCUGGAACCGCCGAAGUCGCAAAGCAUGAGGAGGAGCCGGCGGAAGUGACCGCGCCCACGGCGGUGGUGGCAUCCCAGCCGGCACGUCGCGAGCCCGGGUCCCCUCGGAGCUCUCUUGGUACGUGCGCGCGCGUCGGCGGGGCGCCUCUGUUUCCCGUACGUGCAUUGCAUGGCCAAGUGGUGACGAUGAUGACGCUUGUGUAUGGUAUGACGAUGACGUGCAGGCAAGGACGCGCUGCCGGCGAGCCUGGUGCUGCUACUGUCGAAGAGCGCGGCGGAGCUGAGCAGGAUGGCCGAGCUCCGCGCCCAGAUGGAGCGCCUGCUUCUCGACGCCAGGGCGGCGCCGGCGGACGUGCGGAGCUGCAACGGCCGACCCAGCGCCUCCGUCGACCGCACCACCGACUGCGCCAGCGUCGUCAAGGGGCCCGUCGCCUGCGCUGGCGGCGAGGAGGACGGAGCCCUGUCCCGGUCCGACGGUGAUGGGCGUCGCGACAUGGACCGGAUGGAAGCUGAGCUAGAGGCGGAGCUAUCGCGCUUGCAGUUGCAGCGAGCCUCGGACGACGACGACGACGACGACGACGACGACGACGACAGUCCUCGUCGCCUACGCCGUGAUGAUCAGCUCGAGGUUGGUUGCCGCGCGGUUAAUAGUUAAAACUGCGUUUCGAUCGCUCAUUAUACCAUGAGCUCUGUUCUGAUUGAGUAACUGAUGAUCCUCGCAGGUGCAGGCGGGGCCGAAGAGCAGUGCCUCCUCGAGGAGCCACUCGACGAUCUGCUCCGACUACGACAACGACGACGGAGAGACAGACAACGGCGGAGGCGGCGACGAGAGCCAAGACCGCUACGACGAGGAGGAGGAGGACGAGGACGACGAGUGCGUUGGUGAUGAGGAGAGCGGGAUCAAGAGCCCGGCCCACGGCGGCGUGUCGGCACGCGAGCUGGAGCGGAGACUGCACCAGCUGCUGCAGUCGCGGCACGAGGCGCGGAUCGCGGAGCUGGAGUCGGCGCUGGAGCGCGCACGGCGGAAGCUCAAGGAGACGGAGCGCGAGGCGUGCCGGUGGCGCGACACCGCCAAGCUCGCCACCCGCUUCGCCGACGAGUCGAGGCUCAGGUAGGAGUCCAACAAGACCAAGGAGAAGCCAUCUCCGCACGCCCGUGCCCGUGCCCGUGCCCACGGACCCAUCGAUCUGUUGUUCACAAACCUCAACGCAUUUUGCGAGAAAAAUUAUGCUGAACAACAACGCAUGCGCACGGUUUCAAACUGUAUUGACCCACCGGGAGAUCAAUUCUAGUCGCGCUCGAGGCAUUAUUGUACUUCAAAACCUCCAACGUUUUGGUUUUCGAGUCCGAUAAUUUGAGGUCACCUUCAGUUCUUCCGUCUGGAACAUGUACACGGCCCAAAGGCAAACGGAAUUACGGAACAGAGCACUGUGGCCAUCAAGAUCAAACCGAGUCCGAUAAUCCGAACGUCCGAGACCACCGAGUCCGAGUCCAUUGGCCGAUUCGUAAAGAAGCUUCUCCAGCCAGGCUAAUAAAAGGAGGCGGCGCCUGCGCUUCUCUCCACCAAACCAAAGCCUUCAGCAAACGAACGCAAGGUUCAAGACACCAAGCCCACGCGACACGAACACCGUCUGCCGCUGCGCACGUGUAAACCGAAGAAAUCAUGGCGAUCCACAAGCUUGCACGGACACUGGCGAUCUUGUGCCUCGCCGUCCUGCUGCUUCUCCUGCCGUGCGCGGCUCGCCCCAUCUCCGAAACGAGCACCAUCGACGGCAGCCGGAGCAAGCACUUGCCACUUCGUGGAUCGAUGCUGCGCGGCCCGGAGAGCGUCGCCUUCGACGGCGCGGGCGCCGGCCCUUACAGCGGCGUCUCCGACGGCCGCGUCCUCAAGUGGAACGGGUUCGCGCGCGGCUGGUCAACGUACGCGUACAGCCCGGGCUACGACGCCGAGGCCUGCACCGCGUCCAGGGCUCGGCCGGCGGAGCUCACCGAGAGCAAGUGCGGCCGCCCGCUGGGCCUGCGGUUCCAUCGCCGGUCAGGCAACCUUUACAUCGCGGACGCGUACAAGGGGCUGAUGCGUGUCCGCCCGGGCGGCGGCGAGGCCACGGUGCUGGCCGCGGAGGUCGACGGCGUGCCGCUCCGCUUCACCAACGGCGUCGAUGUCGACCAGGUCACCGGGGACGUGUUCUUUACGGAUAGCAGCAUGAACUACCCGCGGUCGCAGCACGAGAGGGUGACGGCCACCGGCGACUCGUCUGGCCGCCUCAUGAAGUACGACCCCAGGACGGGCCAAGUCACCGUGCUGCAGGCCGGCAUCACGUACCCCAAUGGCCUCGCCAUUAGCGCCGACAGGACACACCUCGUGGUGGCGCUCACCGGGCCGUGCAAGCUGAUGAGAUACUGGAUCGAGGGUCCCAAGGCGGGCACGUCUGAGCACCUCGCUGACUUGCCGGGCUACCCUGACAAUGUGAGGGCCGACGGCAGAGGCGGGUUUUGGGUGGCGCUGCACAGGGAGAAGAUGGAGCUGCCCUUUGGUCCGGACAGCCACCUGCUCGCGGUCAGGGUCGGAGCCGACGGACAGAUGGUCCAGGUGAUGAAAGGGCCCAAGAGCGUGAGGCCAACGGAGGUGGUGGAGAGGGAUGGCGGCAAGCUGUACAUGGGCUCCGUAGAACUACCUUAUGUCGCCGUGGUUAGGGAAUACUAGUGACUUCAAUGAUUAGUUAAAGUGCUUUGGUUUUUUUUUUUUUUUGUAAAUUUAUAGUCUUGCUAUACAGUAUUUUAGGACAUUUUUUUCCUUGUUUCAGUCGGAAUUGCAGGCUGUUAGAUCCUUUGUUCAAACUUACUAAUUCAGAUUAAUUUUACUUUUACAUCUAAGAAAAAGAUUAAUGUGACUGACGUUGCCACAAUUGGACCAAAAUGUAUGCUUAAUGCUGAAAUCAGUCGAUAGAAUAAUAUUUGAACCUUGGACGACGGCUCUCUGAAUCAUAUCAGUGUCUACAUCGAGCCAUAGUAACGCAGGGGUUAACAGUGUACUAAUCGUUUUUUUAGUAAAAGCGUGUACUAAUCGUCAUCCAAAUAUAUGCAUUCUAGCAGAGACAAAAAGUGUAGUGCAUUCUAACACUGAAUCAUCAGUAACAUUGUCAGGAUGAUUUCGUAGUUACAAACUCGGUGUUUCUAUCGAACACCUGAAACUGAAAAUAACUGAAUAGAAGUUCGGCUGAAAAAGCUGAAACCCAGACAGUCACUAUUGCCGAUUUAUCCAACGAAGAGUGAAUCAACGCACCAUACAACUCUCAGCAAUCAGGUUAGUGGCUGCAUUAGGCAACCUCAACAAUCUGAAGUUAGGGAAGAAAACAAAGCUCACAUUUAUCCGACCCGAAACCCCAAACUCUAUCUCUAACAUUGCUGAAGUUAGGGAAGAAAACCACCUGACAUUUUUGGAUUGGGCAGGAAAUUUUGAGUCAAGAAAAGCUUCACUUUAUUUGAAGCAUAUCACUAUCCAAAACCUAUGAAUACACAAUCAUCAUCAUAGAAUUUAACCGCAGUACAUCUAGCCAUAUUAACGCAGGGUUUAAUUAACAAUGUACUAAUACGUAGGCAUACCACACGAGCGAUGUACAUGCACUAAAAUAUCAUCAAAAUAUAUGCAUUCUAACAGAGAUAGAAAGUGCACUGCAUCAUUAACAGCUUCAAGAUGAUUUCAUUGUUCAAACUCGGUGCUGUAAUCGAACACCUGACAGGAAAUGAACAGAAUGACGUUCAGCUCAAGCUACUGAAUCCAGACACUCACUACUACGGUUUUUUCCAACAACAAAGAUUAGCCGGAGUGAAAUCAACAAAGAUUAGCCGCUGCAACAAUUCUCAGCAAUCAGUUUCGUACCUAGGUAAACCCCAACGAUUUGAGGCAUUCAAUGCUCGUGGUUUCGUUCCAGCCGCUCCGGCAGGCAACACAAUGCCACCGCCGCUACCAGUUCGAUUGGCUCCAGCACGACGCGCUUGGCGGUCACUGGGAACUCUUGCGGGUCUUGCCGGCACCACCGGAAACUCGCCGCCUUGAUCCACUCCGGGUUGACGAGAAACUUGCCGUGCUCCCGCGCCCACUGCGCCUUCUGGGUCCCCGGAUCCUCCGCAACGACAUGGGUGACCGUCUCGUCGACGUCUUUCCUGCACACGGCGCCGAGCCGCUCGGCCAAUGUCCACAAGCGGGUGUCGUCGGGGGAGUCCUCCAUACGUUGCUCCAGGUAGCUGAACGCCACCGUGCACCCGCGCAGCACCUGCCCCCGCAACUCCGCGAUCACCUCCCUGACGUCCGCGUGGGGACGGCCAUCGAAGAAGGCGUCGUGGACGCGCUUCAGGACGCCCAGCGCCACGGCCAGCGAGCCGCCGUGCUCCCCCUUCUCGUCGCGGCGCAGCUCCGCCAGGGACGGGAUGUCGUGGCGCGACUUGCGGCAGGUGGAGGCGAAGUAGCGGUACCUGUUCGUGAGGAUGAGGUUGUCCUGGUGCUCCGGCCAGGCAACGUCCGUGUCGUCGAGCGCGUCGAGGAUCACCGCCGCGACGGGGUCGGCGCCUGGGAUGACGUCGAGGCUCUUCGUGCCCCCCUGGGUCGACUCGUCGUCCCUUGACACGACUCUGCCGCCGAAGUAGACGCCGUUCGGGUCCAGCAGGUGGAUGGCCGCCUUCGCGUAGACCAGAUUCCCCAGGGUGUACAAGUGCAUCUCGAACAUGGAGCCUCGCACGAACGGCCGCAGCUUGGUGAGCAUGCCAAGGUUGUCGGAGUCCAGCCGGAAGAUGUCCAUGUCGACCUUGUCGCCGGUAUCGGGCGUGAACCCGAACCAUUCUUCGCCCACGGAGAAGGCGUCGAGCCUCGCCGAGUUGAGCAGCGUGCGGUCCAGGUCCAGGACGAGGAUUAGCUUCCUCUCGCGGAACAGGGUCGCCAGGUCGGACGCGCCCGCAGUGCUCGUCGCCGCCGCACAACCUGGGAGCACCAGGGCCCGGUCGAUGUUCGCGACCGUGACUCCGGAGGCGCUUCCUCCCGCGUCCUCCUCCGUCGCUCCGCACCGGUAGCUGAGACCCAGGACGAUCUCAGGGUGUGCAGGGAAGCGCGCGGGGUCGUCGUUGCCGUGGCCGUCGCCUUCUUCCUUCAUCAUCUGGCGCCCAACGGCGACUGCGAGAGCACCUCCUUCCGUGGCCUCCUCCUUCAUCCCGCACAGGAAGCAGAGCCCGCGGACGAACCGAGGAUGCGGGGGGCAGCGCGGGGCGUCGUAGUCUUCGUUUACUCCUCGCUUCAUCUCCCUCAUGGCGGCAGCGGUGGCGGUGGGAUUGUCCCGGCGAGUGGGCGCUGCGCAGGGCGGUGGCAAAUGAAAUUGGGUGCGGGUGGAUUUGGGGGGACUUGAGGCCGGCCGCCUGGUUUUGUAACUGCCAUCUGCCAAGUGCCAUCGCGCGUGGUGGAGGCGUGGAACGGUUGCGGCCCAAUUCAAAGCAGCCCAGCGGCCCAAUUCAAAGCAGCCCGCCCAGUUUGCCGCAACGCCGCCACCACCCACCAGUUCGCAGUCGCAGCUCCAGUAAACGGCUCGUCGCCGUCGCAGAUUCGCAGCCACCUCCCUGCCCAGCGCGUGCGCCGCGCUCUCACCUGUGCUCUAUAAGAAGAGUGUUCAAAGUCUACAGAAAGAAGAAAUGAUGGUAGCUAUGAGCCUAUGACAGACUCUAUGACUAGGAAAAGGAUAAAAGAGCAUGGAAAAGUAGGCAUUCUUUAGUUGGCGAGGUAAAAAAAAUUGAAUACUGUAACAUUUUUGUUUUUAUAUAGUAAUUAUUAUUCAAUUAUAGAUUAACUAGACUCAAAAGAUUUAUCUCACAAAUUAUAGACAAAUUAUGUAAUUAUUUUUUUAAUCUAUAUUUAAUGUUUCAUAUAUGUGCCGCAAGAUUUAAUGUGACGGGUUUGAAAAAUUUUUGGAUUUCGAGGUGAAAACAAGGCCGUAGUACAUGCCUGCCAAGGAGAAAAGAUAGAUCAUAGAAAUAUGUGCUUUGGAUGUUUAUAUCAUUCAUGCAUGUUUUUAGGCUAUACAGAGAAGUUUUGAUAGCUACACUAGUCACUUUUGAAUUAGCCUCUCCUUAAUUUUCAUUCACACUCCGCGGCUGGCGGGAUGACGUGCUAGGUCGUUGCUUGUCCUUUUCAAAUUGCAAUGGGCCAUUCUAUUUGCGCUCAUGGCCGGCGUCACGCUGAGCUUUGGGCUUAUCGUUAUUAAUGACAUUUUUCCGGGCCCUAUUGUGGUGGCCUUCAUACGGGAGGGCAGUAAGGGGCUUCGGCCCAAAUGAGGUUUCAUACGGAGAGCCCGGGAGGCUUGGGCCGUUGGGCUCUAGUUCAUCUGUUGGAUGGGCGUCAAAUUCAAAUUUCCUUUUUUCUGGAAUUUCAGUUCAUCUUCUGUGACUGCGAUCAAUUCUUUUUUUUAAUGAAUACGAUCAAUUCUUUUUAAUAAUUCAUAAAUAAGAAACAAGUAAAGGAUGAACAAUAAAUAUGUAACUACAGUAUUAGUGUAUUAUUACGAUCUUCCCGUCUCUUUCGGCCCAACUAUUUCUAGCUGCAAGGUCCUUGUCGUUCAUACGAUUUUUCUUGGUCGAGACUAGCUAGAAAUCCGAAAUAGGUCCAUUGGCGGGCAAAGCUUUUUCUUUUGUCCAGCAGCCUCCUUUUGCCUUUGUCAAACUUCUUUCUCAAAGGGGUAGCUAUAGUAUGCCCACUUUGUUAUCUAACCUUUUACUCGGGAUACUGAUCUGAUCGAUCUACUUGUGCUACUUUUGCUCAAAGCCAAGUUCUGGCUACAUGACAGAGAAAUUUAAACAAGGAUACGUACGAUUGUGAUUGAUGACGAGGAUCCUGAAAGAUUUUCACUCAUUUUGUCCUUCUUGUACCUUUGCAUAUAAUUAUCACACCAAAUUAUGCUCUCAAUGGCCACUAUAUAUAUCUUCUCCUUCUCUGACAAAUAACAGUAUAGUAUAUACGGAGUACCAGGCUAGGUACCACUCUUCCAGCAGCAGGAGGUGCCGGGAAAAAAAAAGUCAAGAUGGGUUCAGACAGAAAUUCAGUCGCGACAUGCAUGCUUAAUUAACUAAUCAGUGUGAGGGCCAUUAGAUACUGAUGGAUAUGAUACAAGAAGUUCUGACGAUUGGGGACGCGCGCACGCACGAUCGGACGCCACUAAGUCUGCACUACCACUUCUUCUUCUUCAACCUCCCGACGACCAGCUGCUUGCUCGCCGCUUCUGUCCUAUAGUUUGUGUUUACACCAGCAAGAAGAUUGUAUGUGUCGUUGCAAUUAAUGCCACCGCCAUGCAUGAUGAUCACGCUGGCUUUCGCCUAGCUUCCGGUGCAUUUUUUUUUUAAAAUUCAUGUCGUCCCAGAAACAUCUCUGCCUGAACUCCCUUUUGACGUACUAUAUAUGCUAUAAUUAGCGCAUCAUUACAUAUACGAUAUUAUAUAUGGAAUAAUGCACGGGUGGAUGUGCUUCUUUGAUUCCUUCCGGUGUCAUGUCCGGUGUGUCCGAAUUUUAUAUACCCGGGCAGCGCCCAGGUCUCCAUCAAGUGCAAUUCCAGUGACGUGUCAAUAUGCACCAUGCAUGCAUGACUUUUAGUUGUAUAUAAAUAUAACAAUUAAUGUAGUAUUCAUUUGCUUGCUAAUCUGCAAGGUUUUGCUAGUACUCCCUCCUUUUGUUUUUACAUGCAUGUCGUAUAUUAGCUUUUUCCUAAUUAAAGUCAAACAUUACCAUCUUUGAUAAUUUAUUUAAAAAAUUCUUUAUAUCUUCGCAACAUACAAAUUAUAUAUUAUGAAAAGUAUUUAUCAUAAUAAAUCUAAAAAAAUAACUCUUGUGUCAUGAACCUAUAUAAUUUUUAAUUUUUUUGAUGAUUAAAGAUAUAAAAGUUUGACUUACAACAAAACUAUUACGACAUGCGAAAACAAACGGAGAGAGUAAAAAGCUAGCUUUGAGAAUGACUCAUGGAUUUCAUUUCUUGUAGAUAUACAUGCUGCAGUAAAAAAAUAUUGCCUUUUGAUUAUAUUUUUUGCUUCUUUCUUAUCAGAUAUAAAGUUGACAAGGAAUGAAUGUGUAGCUAGCACUCUAUUAAUUAACCAGUCUCUCACACUCGCUGUGCUCAGCUUUGUUAUUGGUCGUGAGGCCUUGUCACGUAUGCUUUUUGCGAUCGAGGAAUCUGAGUUGAGUCGUCGGCCUAGGUCCCCCUAAAUAAAGCCAAAAGAACCUUCUUUUAGUUGGCACUGCGCUGCUAGUAAGGCCUUGUUUAGUUCAUCCAAAAAUCAAAAACUUUGUAAGAUUUUCCGCCACAUCGAAUCUUAUGACAUAUGCAUGGAGUAUUAAAUAUAUAUGAAAAUAAAAACAAAUUGCAUCGCGAGACGAAAUCUUUUAAGCCUAGUUACUUCAUGAUUGGACAAUAUUUGCCAAAUAAAAACGAAAGUGCUAUAGUGUUAAAAUUCAAAACCUUUUUGGAUCUAAACAAGGCCUAAGUUUAAUUUGUCACAGAUAGAUAAUCAUGUGGUAGAUACUACUCUACAACUUUGGAAAUUGUAGAGAACCUUAGAUAUAUUAGAACAUAGCUUUGUUAUUUGGUAGUAGGUCAUUAUAUAUUCUGGUUUAUAUUACAUAAUGGCAAGGGCAUAUCAUAUAUAUGACUGAGGGAGACGUGGAUACCCUGGAUAUUGGCUUUGCGAAUUACUUUUAAGUGGCGAUUACUUAACCACCUUGCUAUUUGCUUCUUCCAUCUUUGGAGUGACAUAUUAAUAGCAACUUCAGUCCCAUAAUAUAUCUACUUUUAGGUUUAUCCAAGUCAAAACUAGAUAUGUCAUGUACUUAGGUUUGAAAAAAAAUAUAGGAGAAAAUAUUAAUAAAGAGGAAACCAAAUUAGUAUAGUUAGAUCAAUUAUGAAAUAUUUGUUUACAAUGUCGAUCAUAGAUAUUUGAAGGAAGCUAAUUAAAAUAAUUUGAAUUGUGAUAAACACAACAGUAGCUAUAUUUUGAGUCAAAGGUAGUAUAAAUUUAUUUGGACUUGGCCACGUGAAUUAAGUUGACUUGCCAUGAGGAAUGCAAGCUAGUGCUGCGCGGACACCCAAUUGCCAGAACUGCUAGCAGUGAUCAAACAUCAGAUAGAGCUAUGGGUGCAGGCCCGCGCGAAGAACCUGGGGUUGUUUGCUUCAGCGAGUAAUUAGCUAGCAAGAGUCCAGCUAGGGAUGGCCAAAGAUUUACUGAAUAUCAUAAGGCCCUCCACAUUAUGGUGCAAGUUACUGUUAUAUGUACAAAGGUGUUAGUGGUGUCUAAUUUUUUACAAUUUGGCUUUUUUUUUGAAAAAAAUUCUUUUUUGGACCCCUGGAAAACUUAAUCUCGGUUUUGGACCCAGGGGCUCGACGCCAUGCAUCAUGGCGUCGAGGUAUCACGUCUCGACGCCAUGGAUCACGACGUCGAGGUCCCUGGCUGUGCCCAGCGGGGCUUCUGACGUGGCUCUGACGUGGCAGGGAGCUCGACGCCGUAGAUCACGGCGUCGAGCUCUCUACUACAAACCAGCCGACGCCCUUCGCUAUCCGUGGACGCAGUUCAUAUUUUCAUCUCCCCUCUCGGCUCUUCCUCUCCAAAAACUGAGCACGAAUUUGGAUUCAAUAUUUCGACCAUCAAAAGUUUGAUUUGAUCCAUAUAUCUUGAAGAGCCAGUUAUACUCUUUCACAUAUUAGUUUUUGACACAUUGAUUUGACCUAUAUUACACGUAUGUUGUAGAGUUAGAUAAACCAUUACUAGAUUUUUGAAUGGAUGAUUAAUAUUUAUAUUAUGCAAUCGUAGAAUACCACGUCGUGGAAAAAGUAGCAAACCAAUGUAACCUUUCGACAUGUUUCGAUAAAUUUCAUUCAUUAUUAUUUAUCAUUUGGUAAAUUGUAGUUUUCGGUUGAAUCGUUAAUUGGUAUGAUUUCUUAGAAUUGAAUUCUUUGAACUGUAGCUAUGGCCGGACGACCGGGAGUCCGUACAUCCACAAGCCGCUUCCUAGCGGUGUUCCAGUACCUAUGUGCUUUUGUGGUGAUCCUUGCAAGGUAGAAAUUUCAGAAGACGAGGAAACCUAUCGGCAGAGGUAUUGGAUGUGUUCCAAUUUUGCCUGGGAGCCUACGCCAAAACAACGCCGCAGUAACUUUAUUGUAAGUUAAUUUUUCUAUUGUGCACUUAGUAUUUUAUGUCCUAUGAAGCAUGAUUUAAUUUUUUGAACAAAUAUAUUUGUUGCAGACCCCUCCACCAUUGUGUGAUUUUGUCUCAAUACCUCGGCGCCAUGAUCUGUGGCGUUGAGCUUUUUUUUUCUGCCACAUACGACGCCACGUCAGAAGCCACGCUGGGGUUGGGCGGGGUCGGCCUAGGACCUCGGCGCCAUAGCGUCGAGACGUGAUACCUCGACGCCAUGAUGCAUGGCGUCGACCCCCUGGGUCCAAAUCUGAGAUUAAGUUUUCCAGGGGUCUAAAAGAGAAUUUUUUUCAAAAAAAGACCAAAUUGUAAAAAAUUGGGUUAGUGGUGCCCAGUUAAAUUUUGAGCUGCAGUGUGAGGAAUCACUAUAGAACCCAGGCCACCACAAAGUACUAUGUCAGGGUGUAAAAGCUGAUGUUGAGAGAGAAGCAAAGAAGGAAGAAAUAUUAUUCUAUUAAUCUGGCACUGGUUGGAACCGACGCACUACUUGUGUCACUCCUCAUUUUUCUAGAGCUAGCAGCACUAGCUGCAAUGUAUGGAGUCACUCUUCUUUCAUCUCUCUCCUAUUCUAACGCUACUCAAGCAUCACGCAGUGGAGGGCCUAAGAGGCCACCCUAUUGUAUUAAAACUUCUAUUCUCUUAAUAUAAAAACACACAAGUCUUUUGCGUGAUGGAGAAAAAAUCUAUUAUAUUGCUUGCGUGUUUUCAUAAGGCAUAAUAAAGUUAUUUCUUGCAUUAACCAUCUACCCUCUCUACUCUUGCCCCCUUGCCAUACAUGCAGCUUCAUAAUGACACAAAAAAAUUUUCUUUGUCAGUGCCAAUAUGCUUUUGUAUGACUACACUUGUGUGGUAUCUGUCUUAUGGAGGAAUUGAGCAAAAAGUUGAGAAGAGUAGAGAUGGAAGAUGGUUAAUGCGUGAAAUAACUUUAUGCUGGGAAGCCAACAAAUGCUAGAUAACCAGCCACAUGGUAUCCUGAGAACUCAACCAUUAGGGAUUAGAUGCUAUGGAGACUGGCCUAGAGGAGAAAGCAAUGCAACAGAUCAAUAACACAUGGAUAAGCUCUGAUGGCCAUCAUCACGAAUGGCCUCCCUAGCAACUUGCCAAGCACUGCAAAGAUGGAAAUAUGGGAUUUAGAUUGAUACUCAAAUUUGUUAAGUUGUACAUUGCUACGUACAUGGAUAAACAAACAUGUCAGCAUAAAUUUGUGCCAAGUUAGGAUCUUGUUCAGCUAAGAAAAAGUUUUGUUGGUUCAAAGGACUGAAAAUCAACGGAGGAUGGACCUUGUUAGAACGAAAAUCACAUGCUCAUUUUCUCCCUAUCAUGUGGGUAUGAUGAGAGAUACUAAUACGGUAUUAUUGAGAGUAGUGAAGUAAUAAUUUUAUAUCUAAAUAAUUAUGACUUGGCCUAUGUCUUGAAGGCAGUCUGCAUAAAAUUGCAAGUCAGUUAGCAUAAAAAUAAGAAGCAUAACCAUGCAGUAAAAUUGUACCCAGGGCAAUUUUUUCAGAGGAUGUUUUGACAUACUGAAAGUUCAAUGUUUUGCUAAAACGACAAGGCAUUGAAUAAAUAAAUAAAUUAAAAGAUGAGUUCACCAUUAUUAAACUUCACCUUUGUAGUUUUUUCUUCACCAUAUUAAUUCAUGAAAAUUUUCUUCACUGCAACAAGUUCAGAAAGGCUCCUCAUAACUCGGACUUCUUGGGCCGAGGCUGAUCGAGUCCAGAAGGGCUCCUCAUAACUCAGAUCAUCCUUUUCUUUUGUUUCGUGUCGCGUUUUGGCUUCUAAACUAUGUCUCUGUAAUUUUGUUACUUUGGUAAGAAAAUUCGGUUUACCGGUGUGAAAAAAAAAGAUAAGUUACUUAUAUACAUAAGCACUGGAACACACGUCUUGUAAACCAGCAUGAAAGAACUAGCACUAGGACUAAGCGUUACAAAGCAGGAGAAGCGUACACGCACGUAAGAGUCGUGUGCACCUGGCCACCAGGGUACGUCGAAGGAUCAUGCCACGCUUCUCUCUUAGUAGUAUCUUUUUAAAAGGCAAACCAUGGCAAUGAUGACAUGUUUCGAUCGCGUCAUAAGAUUGUGAUAGACGACGGUACGUAGCAUUUGCUUUCAAUUUAGUCAAGCUUAGAAAAGGUCGACCUGCAGGUCUAAAUUUUAGGUAAUUUUUGAGGAAUCCUAAAUUUUAGGUAUUCAAACAGGUGAAUCAAAAGUAGACUAUAUUUUAGCUUCGAACCCAACUAGGAAUUAGUAGUAGUUCAUUAAUUAGCAAAUGUGAGGCAGUAACAAUGUAACAUGAUCUAAAAGAUGCACAUGAGUCUUGCUUUGUCUAGGUAAGCUAUACUACUACAAAAACCAUUUUUUUUAAUUAGAAACGGUGUAUACUAACCAUGCUUUUAAAUAACACACGCCUAAACUUCAUCCACGUAAACUAAAUUUUGGUCCGCCCAAACUUUAUUGCAAACGAUAAAACAGACCGUUAAUUUUGUGCGAGCACGCAAUUAAGCAGCAAAGAAAGGAGCCCGGCCGGCCGGGACGUGUUGGCACGGCAAGGUGGUUGUCCUUGUGCUGUGUACACCCACCCAGUGAUGAACGAGUCAGCAGCAGGUUCGACAGGUGGAAUGGGGGAGAUGACGCUUCAAGGGUGGAAUCGACCAGUCAUGGAUGAGAGGAUGAGGCCAGAUCUAAAAAGUUUUUGGAUUUUGACAUUGUAGCGUUUUUGUUUUUAUUUGAUAAACAUUAUCCAAUUAUGAAAUAACUAGGCUUAAAAGUUUCGUUUCGUGAUUUACAGGCAAAUUGUGCAAUUAGUUUUUGUUUUCAUCUAUAUUUAAUGCUUUAUGCAUGUGCCGCGAGAUUCGAUGUGACAGGAAAUCUUGAAAAGUUUUUUUGUCUUUGGGGUGAACUAAAAACUAGGGUCUGAUUUAGUUCAAAAAAAUUCAAGAUUUCCUGUUAGAUGAAAUCUUACGGCACAUGCAUAGAAUAUUAAAUAUAGAUAAAAAACAACUAAUUAUAUAGUCUAUCUGUAAUUUACGAAACGAAUUUUUUAAACUUAGUUAAUUUAAAUACAAAUAAAAGUGCUAUAUUAACAAAAACCAAAAAUUUUCACCUACUAAGGCCUUGUUUAGUUGCCGAAAUGAAAACUUUUUCGGCUACUGUAGCACUUUCGUUUAUUUGUGAUAAAUAUUGUCCAAUUAUAGACUAACUAGGCUCAAAAGAUUCAUCUCGCGAUUUACAGACAAACUAUGUAAUUAAUUUUUGUUUUUGAUUAUAUUUCAUGUUCAUGUAUGUGCCGCAAAAUUUGAUGUGAUGAAGAAUCUUGAAAAAAUUUUGGUUUUUGGGGUGAACUAAGGCCUUAUUUAGAUGCAAAAUUUUUUUGGAUUUUGAUACUGUAGCAUUUUUGUUUUUAUUUGACAAACAUUGUCUAAUUAUGGAGUAACUAGGCUUAAAAGAUUCGUCUCAUGAUUUACAGGUAAACUGUGCAAUUAGUUAUUCUUUUUAUCUAUAUAUAACACUUUAUGCAUGUGCCGCAAAAUUCGAUGUGACGAAGAAUCUUGUAAAGUUUUGGAUUUUCAUGUGUAUCUAAACAAGACCUAAACAAGGCCGAGCUGGCCAAGGACCUUGAUGAGGCGCUCCUGCGUAUGGUUUUGUCUUGUCUGAGAUGUGGCAGUACAUGUGAUGCCCCCAGUAGGCUAGGCUGUGCCUGCCCUGUGCGCCUAUGCCCGGGCCUUGUUCAGUUCCAGAAAAUUUUGUAAAAUUUUUCACAUUCCUCAUCACAUUGAAUCUUUAGACGCAUGCAUGGAGUAUUAAAUAUAGACAAAAAUAAAAACUAAUUGCACAGUUUGGUCGAAAUUGACGAAACGAAUCUUUUGAGCCUAGUUAGUCUAUGAUUGGACAAUGUUUGUCAAAUAUAAACGAAAGUGCUAUAGUAUCGAUUUUGCAAAGUUUUUCGGAACUAAACAAGGCCUAGUAGUAGGCAGCAGGCACCUGGCUUGGCUCUCGCUGUCAUUCGUCAACCAUCACUUUUAUUCCGAUGCCCAAUUCUCGCUGGCGAUUUCUGAAUUCUGAUUCUGACCUGUGCCUUGUUUAUUUCCAAAAAUUUUUGCAAAAUAAGAAUAAUAGUAUUUUUGUUUGUAUUUGACAAAUAUUGUUCAAUUAUGGACAAACUAGGUUCAAAAGAUUCGUCUCGUCAAUUCCAACCAAACUGUGCAAUUAGUUUUUAUUUUCAUCUAUAUUUAAUACUCCAUGCAUACGUCUAAAGAUUCUAUGUGACAGAGAAUCUGAAAAAUUUUGCAAAAUUUUUAGGGAACUAAACAAGGCCUGCAAGGAAUUCGAUCGGCGAAUUCCGCUGUUCUGUUCAUCGUCGUUGUAGUAGCAGCGGUGGAGGGCCGGGAGAUUAGAGAUCAUCAGACUUCAGAAGAAGCAAACAACACAGGGCUGAAGCGACAGUGGAGACCCUGACAGCGGUGCCAAUUAGCCUCACACACUCAUCACUCACUCCAAGUCUCUCACUCUCACCUGAUGACUUGACAUCAGCUUCUUCAGUCCAGUCCCAUGGGUGACGAUCUUGUGAUGUGAUUGCAGGCAACAACCAAACAAACAAACACACUAGCAAGCAGCUAAAAUAUACUAGCAGCUACCGUAGUAGUACGCUCCCGUGUCCAUCAGUGCCAGUAAACUCCUGUUCCGCUGCGUGUUGGCCUCUUGGACACAGGAACAGGAUUGGGUCGUGGAUCAUGCCAUGGAUCUUUGCAGUUUGCAAUGCGAUCCAUCUUCACGGAAGGGGACCCGAAAUUCAAAACUGGCGGAGCCAGGGGAAGGGACCCGUACCGAAAUCCCAGAUAAGCCAAGGGCCUUCCUUCCCUCUUCACGACACCAACACGUAAAGCGCGAUUAUAAAACCCCGCCACACUCCAACCCCCCUCUCCUCCCUCCCUCCUCUCUUCUCUACUCUUCCAUUCCAACGCCAGCCACGCCUUUCUUCCCUUCCCUCUCGCUUCCCCUCCCCCGACCAAGAAGAGGUCGGGAAGGGAAGGGAGCCGCGCCGCGCCGCGCCUCGCCACAGCCACGCACAGGCCACCCAUAUGCAGCCGAGCGGCCGCGAAAUGCAGGGCGGCGGUGGGCAGGACGACUUCUUCGACCAGAUGCUGUCCACGCUGCCGGCCGCGUGGUCCGACCUCGGCUCCGGCAAGUCGCCGUGGGAGCUCCCCGCGGGGGCGGGGGCCGUCCCCGAGGACGCCGCCGCGUACGACGAGGCCGCGCUCCUCGCCUCGCGCCUCCGCCACCACCAGAUCGGCGGCGGCGGCGCCGGCGCCGGGGAGAAGCCCCUCAUGCUCCACCUCAGCGACCUGCACGGCCUCGGCGGGGGAGGGGCCGGCGACGACGCCGGGUUCAUGCCGCUGCCGCUCUUCACCGACCGCGCCAGGGACGACAUGGACGCCGCCUUCAAGUCCCCCAAUGCCACCGUGAGAUCCUUUCUGCUCCGCGCCGGCCGCGUGCCUGCUCUCCGCUCCAAAGCUCCCCUUCGUUUUGCCCGCGCGCCGUUGACGUGUCCCGCGUUUUGCAGGGAGCUGACCAGGCGCUGUACAACGGGUUCGGAGCCGCUGGGAUGCAUGCCGCCGUGCAUCAGCCGCCGUUCGGGCAGGUACGCCGCCGUACCGGCCACUACCCGUGCCCACGUCCGGUUCAUUUAAUCACAAAAAAAAAAGAGUUGCACUCGCAGUUUUACUCCACAAUCACUUUGCUGCUCCAUUCAUGGCGCCAAAGCUACUGUUCGUUUUCUGUCUUGUCUUGGCUGAUCAAUCAAUCGGACUGAAAAAACCGUGCCUUCUUCUCCUCGUGUGGUGACUGGUGAAAGGGCGGGUCAAUGCCGGCGGCGCAGAGCUUCGGGGGAGGCGCGGCGGCCGCGGGUGGUGCGCCGGCGCCGGCCGCCGGAGCGGCGUCGGCCGGAGGAGGUGCCGCGCCGCCGCGGCAGCAGCGCCAGCGGGCCAAGAGGGGGCAAGCCACUGAUCCUCACAGCAUCGCCGAACGUGUACGCCACUCUCCCUCCAUCACCUUUCCCUUCUCCCAUUUUUUAAUGCCUCUGCAUCACUGUGUGUAUGUCUGCUCUGUGCUGUUGUGGUGUUCUUGUACCUGGAGCUCCACAAUUCUUGGACCUUAUAGUUUUGACCUGCCAGCCACAGACCUCAAUUCCACUGCUCCAAUUUGAACUGCAAACUUCGGCCUGGCCACAAAUUGAAUUGUGGUUCGGUGUUCAGAUACAGCAGAGAUUAGAAUCAGAGAUGAGCUGUCUGACGAACUCUUUUGGGGUCUUUGCCGAUCAGUUUCAUAUAUACUUUCAGUUGUGUCUUCUCGCUCACGCUGUGGCCACGCGUUUGUUGCAGCUCCGGAGGGAGAGGAUAGCGGAGAGGAUGAAGGCGUUGCAGGAGCUGGUCCCUAACGCCAACAAGGUAUGCCAGAUUUUCCUCUCUUUUCUCCCUUCUUUUUCCUCCCUUUGCCCUUUCUUUUGAACAAAGUAGCAGGGAAGCUUUCCCUGAAAUGUGGUGAGGAUGCAAUCCUUCUUCUUUUUUUGCACUGUUUGCGUGCUGUAUGGGUGCAUUUUUCCCUUAAAUUCAGUCUUUGCUGAUACGCUAUCUUGACUUGUUUUCUUUUAGUAUAGCGUGCUGUGCUCUCCUAUAUGUAAGAUAAGAUCGGUAGAAUGAUGAGUGCCUCACAAAAUAGGAAAAACAUGGUAAUUGAGGCAUGUUGUGCAUUGCCCAAUUUACUAACUUUUGGACGCCAUGUGUCGGACCUCCAUUGGAGGAUUUGGACUUCUGAUUUUACUAAAAGCUCCACUGCCGAUGAACAGCUAGUGCAACAGCAUGUGAAAUAGCUUAAAUAUGACAUUAUCUGGGGGAUGUCGAUCAUUGGGAAGACACAAGAUGAUUCCUGAAUUAGUUUAGCUCACGAGGGUUGGAUAGGUUAACUAGGCUCGGUAUAAAAUACACAGCUACGCAUGAACUUCCAGACAUACCUUGCAAAACACUAUAGCUGGAGACAUGGGCAUUUGUCUAACACGCCUGCUUCUUCUGUUCCCCACGAACACCACGUGCCACUGUUGUUCCGGAAGCCUCUACUGGCACAUUGGAUAUCCUUUUUGGAACAACUUGCGGUCACUGUUAGAGUAUCAUGAAGCUACAAUGAACGUUGUUCUUCUGCCCUUUGGAAUAAAAACAUCGCUCGUCCUGUCUUAGUCGAUAGAGCUUCCAUAGCACAAACUAAGAGUGGACAUAAGAUCACUGUCGCUGAAAUGAUCAUAUAUCAUAUGGAAUUUUGUUUGCAUUGCAGACCGACAAGGCAUCGAUGCUUGACGAGAUCAUUGAUUAUGUGAAGUUCCUCCAGCUUCAAGUCAAGGUAUCUCUGCUUUCCUACACCUAGCUAGGUUACUGUUGGGAUGAGUUCCUAAAUUCUUCUCAUGAUUUGGGCACUCAAAAACUUGUCCAAAUUCAUGACUCCUCAGAUGUUCCUCAUUCUUGCAGGUUCUUAGCAUGAGCCGAUUAGGCGGAGCUACAGCCGUCGGCCCUCUAGUUGCUAGCAUGGCAUCAGAGGUAUACCUAUUGUUGCGUCAUAUGCUCUUCUGUUUUGAAAAUUAUAGUGCUAGCAACGACCCACCAAUUGAUACAACUAAACUUUGUGGGCCAAGUAUGUUGAAUCCUGAAAUGCUCUAAUGAUGUUCAUUGAAGCACAAAGCGAUCAGGGAAAAGGUUAUCCUUUUGACCAUUGUCCAUUGGUUAGGUGCAAAUAGGUACCCAUACUUUUGUCAUCUUUAAAGUUGCUAUUCCGAACAAUUUAACCAUCAUUUGGCCCAUCCAAAAUUGUUUAAAUUGGUCUAAAGUUGAUCCCUGAUCAAGUCUAUCCAAUAGCAAAUAAAUAUAUAGAGAUCUUAUUUCAGAUUCUAGCUUUAGCAUUCGAGGACUAAAAAGACACCCAAAAGAGCUACUAAAACCAAACAGCAUGCUUACAGAUUUGCACGAAAUCAAAAGGAGAUAUGUCCCAUGCAUAACUUUGCUUAAGGAACUUAUCAAGCAUUAGUGGCCAACACAAAGGAAAAAAGUAUGUAGGAAUCUUUGUUGUUAAGGGCUCGAGCCAAAAAGGAAAAACACGCCUGAAAAGUGAUAACAUGGUACUGAUCAAGCAUUUAAGCUGUAGGAGCUACUAACCCACUAAGGAGAAAUCGAAUCCCCAACUCCUGAACAUGCUCCCGCUGCUAUAAGGUCAACCAAACCAAAUCAGAUAAAAUUCCCAUCAGCAAUCUUUAUUAUCUUGAUGAGUGGCAAACUGCACAUCAGUUUUUAUUAUCUUGUGCAUCAGCCAAAUCGCCAGUAGAAUCAAAUUCAAAUCCCUGUUGCAGGGCAAUGGGAACGGAAAUGGCACAAGCGACAGCGGAAAUGGCAAUGCCGCCAACGGUGAGAAUGGUGGUGGCAGCCUGCAGGUGACGGAGCAACAGGUGGCCAGGUUGAUGGAGGAGGACAUGGGCACCGCCAUGCAGUACCUGCAGGGCAAGGGGCUCUGCCUGAUGCCGAUCUCUCUCGCCUCAGCCAUCUCCUCCGCCACAUCGUCGUCCCUCCUAUCUCGCCCCUCCAUGGGUGCAAUGGGAGGCGCUAGGGGUCCCCUGCACGACGGCGGUAGCCCUGCGUCGCCGCCACUGGUGAACGGUGGUGAUGAUUCCAGGACCAUCAAGGAUGGCGGUAAGCAGUGAAGGCAGUGUUCUUGUCUUGAGAGGUUGUGUGUUCAGAAGGGAGGUCUUGUUGUAGGGUUGGAAUUGUCAAGUGGCCCAGCAGGGCUUUUCCCCUCCACCUUUCCUGCCCCCCUUUUGUUUGUUUAUAAGAAAUGAUGUUUAAUCAUGCAACCUUUAGCUCCAUCUUUUCAUGUUCUUGUAAAAUAGCUUUCCUGGCCUCUUUACCUCUCCCCUCCUCUCCUUUUGGGCCUGAUGACUGAGCUGCUCCUGUGAUCCGUAGCUUUUCUUUUCUGUUAAAUUUGUCGCGAAGCUGUCGUGUCUGCUCUUGUUAGGUGGUGGCCGUGGAGGUGAGGAGGAAUCAAAAUUAUUGGUCCGAAGGGAUCAUAUUCAUAUCCCAGCUCGGGUACAAAUUGAUCAAAUGAGAUGAGAUUAGGGUGGUAUCAAGUGCAAAGCUGGUCAACAAAAUGAAAGAGUAUGUUGAGAAUUAUCAAAUGAGCUGCUUCAUCACAGUCACAGAUGAUGAUGAGCGGCAAGGUCUCCUCUCCACUGCUGAAAUUAGGUGCUUCUCGGACCACCAGAUAACCUUAGAUAUAAGAGCGGGUACUUUAGAGCUAAGCACACAUAAAGUCUUCCCUGAUGUAAUACUAUAGAGGAAGGACAGAUAAGGUGCUUCUUUUGUAGGCGUGUCUGCUUACAGAUGUACGGUGUGUUUGCGAGUGCCUAAUGGUUUGAAACCUUGAAUGCUCUUAUUCGAAAACACAUAUGUAAUGCUCCAUUUGCAAACAUACAUGUAGUUGUAGUUGCAUAAAUACUGGACCCUGGCAGUUUCAGCCAAGGGUGUGUUUGGGAAGGAUCAUGUAUCCUUUCAGACGGCAAAGAGAUCAUACAGGUAGUUUCCUCUAACCACCCCCAAAAACUGUGAUGAUGCAGCAUUAGCGAUUGCCGAUUGAUGCGCAGGCGACGACACACGGUUGGAUGGUACGAGAGGCUACUGAGAAGCAAACUGGCAAUAUUCCCUCCCUGCCUUCAAUCCGCACGUCACGAUGGGCUGGCUGCAAGUAAACAAAUCGGGGAGCCAAGAUCAACGGAUUCAAGGAUCCCAGCAGGAGAUGCACCCACGUUGGUGAAGUAAAUGAAGGGCAUCUUUCAUCGUGGUUUAAGAAAACGAAAACUUCUAGUGACAGCUCUAGUGAACAAGGGCCAUACAAGAAAAGGUACAAGGUAGUCUAGAAUUGGACCACAGGACUGCAAAAUUUGCAAUGAUGCACGCAGAUGAGAUCUCCCUCAGGGGAAACAAAAAAAAAACAUGUUGAAAGGUGGAACAAAAGGAAAAUUGGGUUUUUCAGUUGAGUUAUCUGUUUACUUUGACAUUUCCCAAUCAAUGUCGCUAAAUAAUUGAGUGAAAACCACGGGCCUGACAAAGACAGAAAAGGGAUAUGCCAAACGUAAAGCAUAACUGAAAGGCCAUGAGAGUGCCGAUAUAUUGAGGUGAAUGUAGUCAGCUUUCCUUUUGGGUGGCUUCCUUCCAGCCAUAAAUGCACAGUGAAUGAUGAACACCACACAAGGAAGAUAAGGGUACUUUUCCAACUGUCCAAGGCUGAGAAAUUUACUGUACCAUUCAUCAAAAUGGAUCGGCCUGUUGCAGGCAUGGCGAAAGCUGUUUGGAGAUGGGACAGCACAAUGAACAGCAGACGUAUGAAAUCAUCGCCCUUACUUUGGGUAUCCAUGAUGAACCAUGACCCGGCUACAGAAUUGUUGGGGCUGAGAACAACCUAUAAGAUCACGGGUAUCUUAGAAAACUUGGGACCAGUAGGAUAAUCGACAAGCUAUAUAUGCUGGCAGCCAGAAAGAGAAGUAUUAAUCCUAGCAGUAGUUGGCUAUGCUUGUGAAACUACUACUGCACUCAACAUUAGAUCUUCUGAACAGGUAGGAUCCUUGAAGGUUUCAUCCUCAAAAAUCUGAACAGCUAAACAAGUCAGUGCUGACUACUAGUAGAUAAGUAUACUUAAAGAAAAGAUGCUGGAUUUUUUUUUCAUUUCUCAUUAGUCAUUAGUUAUAUGCUGAUUGUAAAACUCUCCUCGCACAACUGGAAGAUAUUUCUACACAAACUUUAUGGACUCACUCUCAUUAUAUUUGUGAAUUCAAAAGCUUUCGAGACAGGGCAUUCCCCACAAGGCAUAAGGCAGUAAAGGUCUGAUGGCGCAAUAGAAAACAGAAGAAUAACAUGACUUCAGUCAAGCAACAAUACCAUAUAAAACCAUAUUUUGUUAGUGGAGAACAAAAUGUCUGAACUGUAAUACCUUAUAAGAGAUACAAACAAAUAAAGAAAGCAGAAAAUUAACAGAACUCUAUUUGAUCUAACUUCUAAGGGUUGAUUAAAUUAACAAGUAAAAUGGUUGACCAAAUAUUUGGCUCAAAUUUUCAAGCCCAGGCCAGAAUAACCAGGCUCAAAUUUGACUAACAAAAGCCAAGCAUGCUUCAAAUUGUAGGUUUAACAUGUCCCAUUCUAGCUGCUUUGAACUGGGACUCAAUUGCCUCCUCACAUUUCUUCCCUGUUGAUGGAUCGUCUUAUUAAUUGAAGGACAAAUCAUAUGUAUGCCAGCAUCAUGACACUGAACAUACAAAAAAAUGGUACUGUAGAAAAAAUUUGCACGACAUCUCAGAAAGUAGGUCUCACCAAUACUCUGUAGAAAAUGCAGGUGUAAUGUCAAGACGUUAGAACUAAAGCACUAUUGCUUUCAUUACUGAUUUGAUCUCUUCCGUUUAGAAGCACCUGGCAUUUUAUCUCCUAAAUUAGAUUUCUUUGCUGCUUCUGAUUCCAGUGAUUCUUCCAGUUUCCUCAGAGCUUUUAAAAACCGAACAAGAAGAUAAAAACGGUUAAUGGGUGUAGCAUUAAAAUGGAUGACAGGUAACCAAAAACCAGCAUAUUCCAAGUACAGAAGGACCAUUAUCUCACCACUGGAGAAAGUUGGACGAAGUGUUUCUAUUGAUUCCUCAGGCAAUGAAUGAAGACUGCAGCUAGCAUUGUCUGCCUUCUUGAGCAUUUUGUCAAAAGUUUUAACCUACAAAUGAUUUGAUUCAGCAACUGAGAUAGACAUAAAACAAUCAUGCUGGAUAUUCUAAUUGGAAGUGUUUUGGGUAUGAUUAUCCAGUUUGGGGGUUCUUUUGGUUAUAAAGGAGGCAUUUGGUAGUAUCCACUACAUAGUUAUGCUUCACCCUAUAAUGGACAUCAAAGUGUUUUAUGUAUUCUUAAGUCCUAAGGUAAAUCCAGAAGUCCCCGUGUUUAGUAGUUAGUACAGAGCAGUGCCCCAGUAACAUCUUUCUACUCCAAAUCAUAUGAUAUUAAACUGACAUUCACCAGGGCAAGAAAUACUCGGAGUUUAUGUGUCUAACCACAGUGAUGCUGUACUGGGAUGAGAACGAGAUUGCAGAUUUUUUUACAUAUAUAAUAACAGGCAUGUUAAUAAAUCAACUCACUGCAACUUUUGCAUGAGAAAGCUACCUAUUAUUGUCCGGCAGAGCAUUAUGCCAUUACCUCAUGCUUUCUUAAGAAGGUGAAGCAGGAACCAGAUUCCCCUGCUCUAGCAGUCCGACCCGCUCGAUGUAUAUAUGUUUUCACAUAUGGUGGCAUAUCAUAAUUGAUAACAUAUCUUAAACCAUCAAUAUGUAUUCCACGAGCCAUUCUAUCCGUGCCAAUUAGAACAUCGAUUUUUCCUUCCUUGAAGGCCUCCAGUGUCUUUCUGCAAGAGAGAUUCAACUAAUAUUAUGGUAUCGGAAUGGUCGCAUAAGAUACUAAUCUCUAUUAUUAUAGAAACAAACUUGAUAUUCAUCCCUAGUUUCAUUAAAAAAUCCAUCACUUUCCUAUCUAGAUAAUCUAAUAUUUUAUCUGAUUUGUUCCUAAUUCAUGACCUGUUCUUAAUUUAACCUUCCGCAUGGACCUAGCUUAUGGUUAUAACAUCCCAUAACUACUAAUGUCUAAAGGUGAGAAUUUGUUCAACUUCAAUAUAUAAUUUUAAUUCACAUUCAUGUGAACCAAAAAAUUAUAACCCACAACAGUACUUAAGUAAGGCAGACCCAUGAAGAGGCAUUCCCAUUCUUUUAAUUUUACAAUCUUGAUCAUGGGCUUAUUUUUUCUGGUGAUUGCUCAUGUAACUAGCAUGGCCCUGGUGGGCGCUACACGCUAGUUUUGUAUGUGGCCAGUAUGAGUCAUCUUGGACUCCUUUUCCUCUUAAUAUCUGCAGUUCUUCUGUGCGCUCGAGCAGGAAAAAAAAACUUGAUAUUGCUACUCACCUACAGCUACAAGGCCACAACUCAAACGUGAAUAUGCAUGGAAUUGUAAUGUGGAUAGCUUACCUUCGAGUAGAUUCACGCUGCAAGCGUGAAUAUUCACUGAAUUUAAAGGGUAAGUUUUCAAAAAAACACAGUAAAGUGCUUAGUCUGUGACUUGAUUCCACAGAUGAGGUAAAAACUAAGCACUUAUUCCCUUGCAGUUCUUGGAGAAGAACGAUGAGAGAGAGUGGUUUUAAGUUUGAUUUACAGAUCUGCAAUAGCAACAUAGAACAAAUCUGAGUGAGUAUGCACCACAGAGUUCCCAACAGUAAUUUUACACCUAAGGUAAAUGAGCUACAAAUACAUAAGAGACAAACCAGUUUGUAGGACUCAAGUUUUGUAGGAAUUCUAUAACGCUUCUUCCCACUAUUCAACAACAAGGGAUGGUGCAAUUCGAGUUGUGAUAGCUUGCUAGGAUCUUGAGUCAGUGUAGCAGACAAAACUAUCUUCGCCAAUCUUGGAUAGCAUUUACCUUUAAACCCACGCUCCACACCCCUACAAGAUACAUAGUAGGUUAACUAAAUCCUCAGCCAAAAUAUAGUGCACUACCUUAAACUAUUAAUAUGGCAGAGAAGGACAGGAUUGCGAUUAUAUAAGUAUGAAAUGUGAUCAUUGCUGAAAGAGGAAAAUACACAAGAAUGUAAUUAGGACUAGGAAUUACGAUCUUCUAAUAGUAGUCAAUGGAUGAAGUAGAGUUUUCCCAUCAAUGUCAUGCCAGGAAUGGUCUUGGCCAAUUGAGUGUGUAAGUUGGAUCACUGUUGGCAACCAGGAUUGAUAAGCCUCUCUUAACAUUCUGUCAGUCUCAUCAAUGACCUGAAUCCAUAAUAAGUGAAAUAUGACAAGCUAGUAAGUUGGAAAAGUAUAGUCACGAUAAGGUUAAAGCAGUCUCAUAAAUGCCAAAACUUAUGUAUAGACAAAUACUACAGAUUGCUGCAUUCCAAUUUCCAAGUCCAACAAUUCCAUGGAAACAACAAGGGCAGCAUAUGUUAAAUUGUGUUGCAAGUUCCAUGGUUCCAAAAGGCAUACACAGCAAGGAUCUAGAGUAAGAGGUAAUCUGGGAACUUUGCAUUGUUACUAACUAGCCCAGGAUAAAUAAUGCAUUAAUGCCACUAUAUCAUAUGCAAUGCUGUAUAUAUGAAUAUAAACCAGGCACAAAGCAAACUGUAAAUAAUCUGGUCGAAAUUCAGUUCCAGUCUUCCAGAGCGUAAUCUCACUAAAAAUUUACAUGUCAUGUUCCUUUUACAUUUUUUGCGUACAGUCUAAUAAGCGUGCACAUACUACAGCAAUUUUUCAGGCUUAAACAGACAAUUCCAUGGAGGAGGGCAGUAGAUUCAGAGGAAACAAGCAGUAUCCACAAUGUAAGCAGGCAAAGCAUUGAGAUGUAGAAUGAAUUAUGCAAUAAAAUUCCAAUAAGCCUACCAGGUACUGAAGAUGCUCCAGACUGAAACCAUUUGUCAUGUUAAUGUGAUCCAUCAGUCUUCCAGGGGUUGCCACCAAUAUAUCAAUUUUAGUCUGUGGUUCCAUUUGGACAUAUUCUUCGUCAAUAGUUGGGUAAAACUCUUGUUUGGGCUUCUGGACAAGUCUAGAAACUUCAUCUGCUAUUGAUGAUUGACCAACUGCUGAACCUACUGACAAGCCCACCACAGGAGCAAUAGCAUCAAAAACCUCUUUAACCUGAAAUUGAAAAAACAGUACUUAAAUUUGCUAAAUGGACUACAAUAAAAUGGAUAAGUGUCUGACUCAAAUGUUGAAGCAUGGAUUAUAGGAAAGAUAAAUUUCAAAAAGACACUGAAAUCGCACAAACCUGCAAGGCUAAAUCGCGUGUAGGAAGCACAACCAAAGCUCGUAAGCACCUUACUUUCCGUUUGCAGAGCAUUUGCACAAUAGGUAGGGCAUAAGCAAGAGUUUUGCCAGAUCCAGUUGGGGAGUUGAUACAGAUAUCCCUCUCAAAAGCACCAGGACCAAUUGUUUCCAGCCAAGCUGCUUCUUGAACCGGGAAAAACGAUUCAAUUCCCAUUCUCUGCAAAGCCUCUGCCAGUCUACAAUGGUAAAAACAUACCCAUCAGACACUCUUCUAGCUUACUUAUUUCUAAUACAUCACCAUAAGGGACACUUUCCUAGCUUGAUAAAUUAACUGCACUGAAAAUACAUUUGAAAACUUAUAGCGAGCGAACCAAAAUGCUAAGGUAACAAGCCACUGAGCUGAGUGCCACCAUGCAACUGCUAAUGCAACCUAUUUCUACUCAAGAGAGCAGCAGCUCUCAGCGGCUAGUCCAUUGGUCCCCGUUAGCAAAAAUUAUGACAUGCAUCUGAUUCCAAUCAAACGGUGCAUUGCAAGCAGUGGCGAAGCUAGAGCAAAUUAGAGGGGGGUGCACUUAGCUUGUGGGUGCAUAGACAUCUUCCGUGCGAGAUGCAUAUAUAGUGAAGUUUUGGACCUAAUCACUAUUUUUAUAAUUUUUGGAGGGUGCAUUUGCACCCCCUAGUGACAAUGUAGCUUCGCCCCUGAUUGCAAGCGCUCCUCAUCCUCCUGCCCAGCUAGCGCGGCCCAUGUGUUAGUCACUGCACCCGUUACGCUCCAAAAUAUCUCCUUAAGCUAGAAAAUUCCACGCCGUCCAUCCUGCACACAGUUGCCUCCCACCUUUCCUCCUCCCCACACCUCCAUUGACGCCCCAGCUCCCAUCCCAUGGCACCACGUCAGCCUCCCUUCCUCUCGCCAUGAGGUGUGUCAACCCAAUGACCCAUUUUUUCAAUGUGCACCCUGGUUUCUAUCUGAUCUCCUAUUUCCCUCACUCGCUACAUCUACGCCUCGUCCCAUCAGCCCAAGCAGAGGCGCGGACAGCCUGUGGUGCUACGCUAUGUAGGGCUAGGGGAGGUGCAGGUUGCACAGCGGGGUUUAGGGCCUGGCAUGCAGCCAUGGGAGGUAGGGCUGAGCUGCCCUAACAUCGGCGCAUGUAUGGGGAUGGCAGCAUGGCCAGCAGGUCCAACGACCUUUCUGGCAGCACACCCAUUCAUCGCUCUACUCCUCAGCAGAUGAGUCAUUGGCUAUUCUGCAUGGUAUGUCUCUCCAAUCCCAGUUCCCUUCCCGUUGGUCAUGGUCAACAGUAGAAUUCCUCCUUUAUAUUUUUUGUCUUCACUGUUCUUCUCAGGUCUGUUUCUCGUGCUUGCUCAUUUUUGCAGUCAAAUGAGAUGCAGAGGAUUGAUGGGUUCUUAAGCAAUGCUAGACUGCAAGGUGUUCCUGAUGGAUGAUGCUGUGGUGUGGCAGUGGUGUUACUGAUGGCCAGGUUGUGCGCGUGCAGCAUUGUUUGUUGGCAGCAGGCAGCAGGCAGCAGGCAGCAUUAGCAGGUCUGAUGGCUUGUGGGUGGUGAUUUGGGAGGAACAAGUGAUUGAUUGACAGUGCCAUUGCAUUGUUCAUUUCUGCUUUCUCCUGCCAAUUUCAUGGACCUUUGCAGUUUUGUCAGAUUUGUUGGUUGUGCUUGCUCUUUUUUUUUUUGCAUUAGUUGAGAUUUGAAAGAAUGGAUUCAUCUUAUUGUAAUGUCAAUUGCAGGUUGCUCCAUGUGGACGAUAUUGUGGUAUGUGGAGGAUAUUGUGGUGUGCCACCGGUGGCUGGGGACCUACAGGUGGUGAUCAGGUAGGAGCAGGCGAUUGUAAGAAGCUAUGCAUAUAAAUAGUUUCAUUUGACUGUCUCCUAUUAAUACACAAUCUCAACUAUAGCUAAAUACACUGACUAUGUUUAUAUGGCCUUUACUUCCUGUUCCUACACAAUCUCCGUUCUUUGUUAACAUCUGCCAUAUACUUCAUAUCCAUGUGCAGAGAAAGUGUAUAUAUAUUAAGGAAGCUAGAUUAAAACCUGAAGGGGGAGGGGAAAGAAAGGAAGGUUGUGAGUUGUUUUUCAGUAACUUGCUUGUCAGUACAGAUUCACGAUAAGUUGUUACACCGCUAUCCUGUUCUGGCCGCAUGCAUAUAACAAGGUCUCGAGACAGUUUAUAUUUAGGUUCAAGUUGAACCAUGAAGAUGCUACUCUCCAGUUUUAGGUUGUUUAAAGGAUAAGGUCUGUAUUGAAAUUCUACAACUUAAUCACUUCUAUGUUGUUAUAAUGAAGUGGUCAGAUCAAUGGCUCUGCUUCUAACAUGGAGUAUGGGUUCUUUUAUCUAAGAUUCCAAUGAAGUGGAUUUGUACUACCAAGCCUACUAAAUUAGGAAGUUACAUAAUCCUUGCAUAUGAAUAAUUGCACUCAAUUUGAUCAUUACAACCAUUCUUCUAGAGACAAACAUACUCUGUCAUAAUUUUGGUAUGCUCCAUGCAGUAAAUCUAUAUAGUAAAUAGGGACUGAUUAGACCUACAUAUUUUUCUAGGAUAAUCCUCAAAAUAAUGUUUCCAUAGUGCGGCUAUAUGGAUCAACAAUUUAUGAUUUACAGAAGCUAACUCCUCCACAAACUACUCUACUGGUUGCCCAUGCAGCGUCAUCCUCCUUUUUCAGGUCACCUUGCAAUGGCACUGAUUCAGUUUUCCAUCAAUACACGAGCUAAUGACACCGAGGUUUGUUCAUCCUCACUUUAUUUUUAGCAUUGCCGUUUAUUUAGGCUCUUUUGUCAUGCUAGUCCAUACACACAUUUGAUUUUUUGUCAGUACAGUUGUAACUUGAAAGAGACCUGACGAAUCACAGAAACAAUAGCCACCAUCCAACACUACAGUUUCUGCGUGCAACCAAGUAAGGCAAGCUAAAUUCCAUGACCACAAAAAAUCUAACUCCUCGAGAGUGAACUAAAAAGUAUCCGCACUGUAAUUUCCCACCCGCUCACGAACAGCACAAAAAAAAGGGCAACAGUUGCUUCUGGGCAGCAACCAAAACUAGUUAGUCGCUAGUCGAAGCGAUCACAUGGGCAACUGGAGCAUGGGAGUGCACCUCGGGUCGAGACGGGGGAGCUGUGUGACGGGACAGCCGGAGAAGGUGUCGAUGUCGACGGGGCACCGCAUCCACGGCAGGUGUGGCACGCGGUCCGCCGGCCCCUCUUCCUCGUCCUUCCUCACCAUGGCCACCAUCAGCGACUGAACCCACCUCAGGUGGCUAUGACAAAUCGGAGGAGGAGUCGAAGCCGGCGAGGAGCACAGGUGAUAGGCGGCGCGCGCGGGGGACGGGGAGGUGGCUGCGACUCUUCGACGGCGACGAGAGCCGCGAAUUGGUGGCGGCGUUGCGGCAAACUAGGGCUCAGAACGGGCCGUAGUUGGUGGGCCGGUGGGCUUCUUUCAGUUGGGCUUCGACCGUUCCGCGCUUCCACGCGACGGCAGUUACAAGGAAUUCCCAGGUAGUACAAAACCAGGGGAGGCACGCCGCCCGCCCGCCCCAACCCGCGCCUAUUUCAUUUUGCCACGGCUCACCGACCACCUCCUCAACCCAACCCCCGCUCGCCGGGAGAAUCCCGCCACCGCCGCCAUAAGCGAGAUGAAGCAAAAGCAAGGAGGAAACGGCGACGACGUCCCGCGCUGCCCCCCGCAUCCUGGGUUCGUCGGCGGGCUCUGCUUCCUGUGCGGGGCGAAGAAGGAGGACGCGGAAAGAGGUCCUCCCGGAGUCGCCGUUGGUCACGAGACGAUGAAGCAAGGAGGAGACGCCGACGGCAACGACGACGAAGCGCGCUGCGUGAAGGAGGAGGACACGGAAGGAGAUGCUCCCGGGACCGCCGUUGGGCACCGGAUGAUGAACGAAGAAGGCGACGACCGUGGCAACGACGACGACGCCGCGCGCUGCCCCCCGCACCCUGAGUUCGUCCUGGGUCUCUGCUACCGGUGCGGGGCGACCGAGGAGGACGCGGGAGGAAGCGCCUCCGGAGUCACGGUCUCGAACAUCGACGACGCUCCGGCGACGAGCAUUGCGAUCGCGUCCGACAUGGCGACCCUCAAGAGGGAGAGGAAGCUGAUCCUCGUCCUGGACCUGGACCACACGCUGCUCAACUCGACGAGGCUCCAGGACCUCUCCGCCCUGGAGCAACGCAACGGGUUCACGCCCGACACCGAGGACGAGCUCCACAUGGAACUCUUCCGGCUGGAGUACUCCGACAAUGUUCGCAUGCUCACCAAGCUGCGGCCGUUCGUGCGAGGCUUCCUGGACCAGGCGAGCUCCAGGUUCGAGAUGCACGUGUACACCUUGGGAAGACAAGACUACGCCAAGGCGGUCAUCGACCUUCUCGACCCGGACGGCGUCUACUUCCGCGGCAGGGUUGUGUCCAGAAAGGAGUCGACCCAGCGGGACGUGAAGAGCCUCGACGUCAUCCCGGGCGCCGACCCCGCCGCGGUGGUGAUCCUCGACGACACGGACAGUGCCUGGCCGGGGCACCAGGACAACCUCAUCCUCAUGGACAGGUACCACUACUUCGCCUGCACCUGCCGCAAGUUCCGCUACAACAUCCCCUCCAUGGCGGAGCAGGCCCGGGACGAGAGGGAGCACGACGGCUCGCUUGCCGUGGUGCUGGGCGUCCUGAACCGCAUCCACCAGGCCUUCUUCGACGACGACCGCGCGGAUGUCAGGGAGGUGAUCGCGGAGGUGCGGCGCCAGGUGCUGCCCGUGUGCACGGUGGUGUUCAGCUAUCUGGAGGAAUAUAUGGAGGACUUCCCCGAGGACACCCUCAUGUGGACGUUGGCCGAGCGGCUCGGCGCCGCCUGCCAGAAAGACGUCGACGAGACGGUCACCCAUGUCGUUGCGGAGGAUCCGGGGACCCAGAAGGCGCAGUGGGCGCGGGAGCACGGCAAGUUUCUCGUCAACCCGGAGUGGAUCAAGGCGGUGAAUUUCCGGUGGUGCCGGGUAGACGAGCGAGAUUUCCCGGUGACCGCCCGUGCGAGUUAAUUGAACGGCGUCACGUCGUGCGGCUUCGGUAAUGGCAUUGUUAAUCUUCGUGCCUUAGAGAAUUGAAUGCAUCAGCUCGUCGAUGCUAGUCUUUUGUUGAUUCACUCCGGACAAUCUUUGUUGGAAAAAUCAGUAGUUUCAGGUUUUUCAGCGGAACGUCAUUCUGUUCAGUUACUGUCAGGUGUUCGAUCUCAAUUCCCAGAACCGAUCGAGUUUGAAACGAUGAGAUCAUUCUGUCUGUUACUGUUAAAAAUGAAAAAACUCUGAUGAUGUCUACUGGUAGAGACAUAUGUGACAUACUGACAUGCCCACGGUUAAUCUCAGCGUUGAUGGCUUGCUGUGCUGCAGUUAAAUUUUCUUGAGAUGAUGACCGCAUUGUGUUUUCAGCUUCUCAUUGGGUCUUGACUCUGGAUGUGCUUCGAAUUUCCUUGAACAGUGCAUAACUGAAGUUGCACUUGCAAAUUACAAUACAAAUCUGGGAUGUGUUUCCCCGAUUGCUGAGAAUUGUUGAAGCGGUUAGCCUUUGUUGAUUCACUCCGGCCAAUCUCUGUUGGAAAAAUCUGUAGUGGUGACUGUCUCGGUUCAGUAGAUUCAGCGGAAUGUCAUUCUGUUCAGUUACUGUCAGUGUCAGGUGUUCGAUUCCAGCACCGAGUCUGAACUAUGAAAUCAUCCUGAUGCUGUUAAUGAUGCAGUGCGCUUUCUAUCUAUGUUAGAAUGCAUAUAUUUUGAUGAUGAUCUAGUACAUCACGCAUGUUAGUAUGGCUCAAUGUACCGCAGUUAAAAUUCCUAGAUGAUGAUUGUGUAUUCGUCAGCUUUGGACAGAUAUGCUUCAAAUAUGAUUCAAAGUUUUUCCUCACUCGAAUUUUUCUGCCUGAAUCAAGGAUGCCACGUGUUUUUUACUUUUUUUUUACCCAACUUCAGCAAGGUUAGAGUUAAAAAAAUUUAAAAAUUAUGCCCUUAAAACAUAGCACGACCUAUAUAAAAUUCCAAACAAAAAACACAAUUACAAAUCGAAGUAACUAGUAAUCUAGUAUUCCCUAACAACGGCGACAUAUGGUAGUUCUACCGAGCCCAUGUAUAGCUUGCCGCCUUCCCUCUCCACCACCUCCGUCGGCCUCACGCUCUUGGGCCCUCUCAUCACCUGGACCACCUGUCCGUCGGCUCCGACCCUGACCGCGAGCAGGUGGCUGUCCGGACCAAAGGGCAGCUCCAUCUUCUCCCUGUGCAGCGCCACCCAAAACCCGCCUCUGCCGUCGGCCCUCACAUUGUCAGGGUAGCCUGGCAAGUCGGCGAGGUGCUCAGACGUGCCCGCCUUGGGACCCUUGAUCCAAUAUCUCAUCAGCUUGCACGGCCCAGUGAGCGCCACCACGAGGUGUGUCCUGUCGGCGCUAAUGGCGAGGCCAUUGGGGUACGUGAUGCCGGCCUGCAGCACGGUGACUUGUCCCGUCCUGGGGUCGUACUUCAUGAGGCGGCCGGACGAGUCGCCGGUGGCCGUCACCCUCUCGUGCUGCGACCGCGGGUAGUUCAUGCUGCUGUCAGUGAAGAACACGUCCCCGGUGACCUGGUCCACAUCGACGCCAUUGGUGAAGCGGAGCGGCACGCCGUCGACCUCCGCGGCAAGCACCGUCGCCUCGCCGCCGCCCGGGCCGACGCGCAUCAGCCCCUUGUACGCGUCCGCGAUGUAAAGGUUGCCCGACCGGCGAUGGAACCGCAGGCCCAGCGGGCGGCCGCACUUGCUCUCGGUGAGCUCCGCCGGCCGAGCCCUGGACGCGGUGCAGGCCUCGGCGUCGUAGCCCGGGCUGUACGCGUAUGUCGACCAGCCGCGGGCGAACCCGUUCCACUUGAGGACGCGGCCGUCGGAGACGCCGCUGUAAGGGCCGGCGCCCGCGCCGUCGAAGGCGACGCUCUCCGGGCCGCGCAGCAUCGAUCCACGAAGUGGCAGGUGCUUGCUCCGGCUGCCGUCGAUGGUGCUCGUUUCGGAGAUGGGGCGAGCCGCGCACGGCAGGAGAAGCAGCAGGACGGCGAGGCACAAGAUCGCCAGUGUCCGUGCAAGCUUGUGGAUCGCCAUGAUUUCUUCGGUUUACACGUGCGCGGCGGCAGACGGUGUUCGUGUCGCGUGGGCUUGGUGUCUUGAACCUUGCGUUCGUUUGCUGAAGGCUUUGGUUUGGUGGAGAGAAGCGCAGGGCGCCGCCUCCUUUUAUUAGCCUGGCUGGAGAAGCUUCUUUACGAAUCGAAUCGUGCAAUGGAGCCUCGGACGUUCGGAUUGUCGGACUCGGUUUGGUGACCGCAGUGCUCUGUUCCGUAAUUCCGUUUGCCUUUGGGCUGUGUACAUGCUCUAGACGGAAGAACGGAAGGUGACCUCCAAUUAUCGGACUCGGUUCAAAGACCAGGCCAGUAUUCAGCAACAAAUUCAUGUGCUCUUGCGGUAAUUAUUUUGUCGUUGUAUACCAACUUGGCAAUGAACAUCUUGCCACUGCCCAGCGGCACGAUGUUGGACGUCACCGGGAUCCACUCUGCUGGCUGCGCGACAUCGUCCCAAAUGCUGAUCACCUCCGGAGGCUGCAGCACGGUGGCAGCGGCGAGGUCAGUCACGCACAGCUGGUUGUCUCGAGACGAGAAACCAAGGCCUUGUUUAGUUCCAAAAUUUUUUUUGCAAAGUAGACACCGUAGUACUUCCGUAAGUCAUUUCAAGAAUUUUGUAGAGUCAUUUUUUUCUAAAUUUGACCAUUAUAUGAUAAAAUUUCAAGAAACCAAGAAACUAAUGUUGGAGUUCAUACUUUGUAAAGGGAACAAGACAUUAGCAUAGUAAGCCUAGGCAAAUCACCCGAUACCCGAACCCGGACCCGAAUUACCCGAACCUGAGGUACCCGAUCCUAAAUUCGGAUAGCAAUUUUGAUUACCUGAAAUUAGUUUGGGUAAUUCGGGUAAUAUCCUCCGGUACUCGAAUUACCCAAAUAUUUGUCUAUAUCUUUGUAUUUAUCAUGUGUUGUUAGUUAAAUAUUAGAACAUAUCAAUUUAAUAGAACAUAAUUCUCUUUAUUUGAACACGUGCUAGUAAUAUAUUAUUCUCUACAAAAUGCUAUUGAAAUUAUAUACAAAUUGCUGCUGAAAUUAUAUAUAAAUUGCUAUUGAAAUUUUGCGUAUUGUGUUGUUUUUUGAAAAUUCGUGUAAAUCGGGAAUACCCGAACCCGAAUUAUCGGGUACCCGAAAUUACGGGUAGUGUUUUUUCGGGACUAAUAUCGGGUAAUAAUUUUCGUUACCCGAAUUUUGAAUUACCCAACUUGAAAAAAACGGGUAACCCGAAUGCCCAGGCUUAAUGCAUAGCUAUAAAUUUCCAUCCCAUUUCAUGGAGUAUCUCACAUGGCACAAUAAAGAUGUUAUGAAAAAAAUGCAAAAUAAAUGACAAAACAAAUUAUUUAUAGUUAUAAUAUCUAUAUGGGAUAAAAAAUGAAAAAACAAAAACAAAGAAACAUGUGAGGUCUUGUGGGACAAAUCAAGAGGGGAUGAAAAUAGAAAACUAAAAGAUGAAGUACAUUAUAUAUAUAGUUAUUUUUAAAGGAGACAAAAUUAAAUAGAAAUUAAAUUUAAAAAUGACAUUGUACAUAGCUUGAAACUAAGGUUUCACAAGACACAAGAAGAUGGGAUGAAAAUAGGAAGACUUGAAGAAAGAAUUAUAUUAUCUAUAGUUAAUUUUUAAAAGGGGCACAAAAAUAGAAAGUAUAAACAAAAAUGAAGCUGCAGAAGUUUGAACCAUUGACCUUCUACUCAAACUACAAGAUGCUUACCACCAGGCCAACAAGAUAUAUCAAUUAUUGUGUUGCAAAUUAUAAUGAUAAUACAAUUUUAAGUACAAGACUGCAGUGUAUGCCGUGUCCUAUGCCAUGCAGUGUGAGCGCUGGCGAGGAGCACGGGACAAGCGGGGGAGGUUGCGUUGGUUGGCUGGGUGGGUUGGGCUGCAUUCUACUGGGCCUCGGGUACAACUGGGAGAGUUGCGCCUCGCUUUUCCCUUUUCCAUCCGAAGUGGCGGCUUCCAGUGCAAGGAGCCGCGAAGACGGGCAGCGGCACAGCAACAGUUGCCUUCCACGGCCGCCGCUCCAACGCCCGCGCUCGCUUCGUUUUGGUGUUCCACGGUAGCCGCCUCGAUGGCAGGACGAGGAUCCCGCCGACGCCGCUUUCGCCGCCGCAAGAGCACGAUCAAGCAAGGAGGGAACGGCGACGGCGACGGCGACGCGCACUGCCCGCCGCACCCCGGAUUCGUUUGCGGGGCAAUGGAGGAGGACACCGAAGCGGAAGGAGCCGCCCCCAGAGUUCCCGUCGCCCCCUGCCCCUCGCGCCGCGUGCUCUCGUUCCUGGGUCUGGGCGGGACGAAGGAGGAGGGGAGCGCGGAAGGAGGCGCGCCUAGUAAGAUCCGCGACCGCGAGGGCCCCGCGGCGGUCCCGGCCUCGAUGACGACGAGCAUCCCCCGCGUGUCCGAUCUGGAGACCCUACUGCGCGCGAGGAAGCUGACCCUCAUCCUCGACCUGGACCACACGCUGCUCAACUCCACGGGGCUCGACGACCUCUCCCCCGCCGAGCAAGCCAACGGGCUCACGCGGCACACCAAGGGUGACCCCACCGCCGGCCUCUUCCGGUUGGGCCGCGCCCGCUUUCGCAUGCUCACCAAGCUGCGCCCGUUCGCGCGGGGCUUCCUGGAGCAAGCCAGCGCCAUGUUCGAGAUGUCCGUGUACACACUGGGCGACCGGGGCUACGCGAGGGCGGUCGUGAAGCUGCUGGACCCGGACGGCGCCUACUUCGGCGGCAGGGUCGUGUCGAGCGACGAGUCCACCAGGCGGGACAGGAAGAGCCUCGACGUCGUCCCGGGCGCCGAGGCCGCCGCGGUGGUGAUCCUCGACGACUCCAGCCAUGUCUGGCCGGAGCACCAGGAGAACCUUAUCGUGAUGGACCGGUACCUCUACUUCGCCGAUAGCUGCCGGACGUACGGCUGCGGGGUGAGCUCCCUGGCAGAGCUGAGGCGCGACGAGCGCGAACACGAUGGCGCGCUGGCCGUGGCGCUCCAGGUCCUGACGCGCGUCCACCAGGGGUUCUUCGAUUCUGUCCUCGGCGGCCGCUUCUCCGACGUCAGGGAGGUGAUCAGGGCCGUGCGGAGCGAGGUGCUGCGCGGCUGCACGGUGGCGUUCAGCCGGGUCAUCCCGCUCGAGGGCGUCGCUGGGGACCACCCCAUGUGGAAGCUAGCCGAGCAGCUGGGCGCCGUCUGCACGGCCGACGCGGACGCCACGGUCACCCAUGUUGUCGCGCUGGAUCCAGGGACUGACAAGGCGCGGUGGGCACGGGACAACUGCAAGUUUCUGGUCAACCCGAAGUGGAUCAUGGCGGCGAGUAUCCGGUGGUGCCGGCCGUGCGAGCAAGAGUUCCCAAUCACCCGUCGCCAUGGACGUUGAAUAUUUACUGCAGGAUGGUGUCGCUGUCGUCAAGACUUCAUGCUUCGGAUCGUUGAGAUUGCUUGCCCUUACUAGUUUUGAUUCACUAACCUAACCUGGUCGUUGAGAACUCUGUGGCUCAUCGAUUGACUUAGGUCAUGUUCUGUUGGAAAAUUGAGUACUAACAUGUACUACUUGAAGUAUCGUGCAUUCAUUUUGGUCAGGUCUUCAGGAUAAUGAAGAAACUCUGUAAUCUAUUCAAUUUCUCUCAUCAGAUAUUCAGAAACCAGAAGUUCAGAACAGGGAGUCUGAAACUUCCAAGGUACUCCUAUUCAGUUACUGUCUGUGAUGUUGAUAUUCUCUCUCAGUGAUAUUGUGUGACAGAUUGAGAGGUUAAAGAAUGUGGGUAGAUGACUUUGCAUGAUCUUUUACUUCACUGCAACAGGAUGAUACAAUGUCUUCGCAAACAGAAAAAAUAACAAGGGCUCACAUGAUUAGCCUGCAUCAGUGACCUGCCCCGUACUGCUGCUGUAUGUCUUAGCAUAAUUACGUGUUUUGCUUAUGCUUGGCUUUGCCAUUGAUGUUCUUGAUCUACAUCCCGGUUCUUUUGUGUCGAAAAGACUAAAACACACGCUUUUCAACUGUGAAUUCGAUUUGGAAACAAACAGUCGUGGUAUGAAAGUCAAAACUGAAUAUCUAAAUAUACUCAAGUCACUAACAGUGAUGGCAAAGAAUCGACACUUGGGCACAGCUUGUGCUCUCCAAAUUGGUGCCAAUUUCAGCCUGCUGAAACAUCCUUCAAAUCGGAUCUGCCAACAAUUUGAUCAAGCGCAACUGGUCGAAUGAUCCUGUCUGCAAAUUAUGUGGGAUGGAACCAGAGACACCAAACCAUCUAUGUCUCAACUGCCCUUUUUCGAAACAAGUAUGGACAGACCUCAAACGUUUGUUACACCUAGCCGUUUUAGACUCAGUGCUAAUGACUGGUUCAGUACAUGGGUAUUGUCGCAAAUGCUGUGUCAAAAUUGAUAAAAGAGACAGGAGAAAGUUUGAUGGAGUGAUGAUCUAUUUUUGGUGGAAUGUAUGGAAGGAACGGAAUAGAAGAACGUUUCAGCAGAGACCCAUGCAGUCAAAUCAGGUGGCCAUGCUUUGUAAAGAUGAAAUCACGCAACAGUGCAACACCAUGUUCAAGAGUAGUAGGGAGUGGUUUCAGGUUUCAGUAGUGUUCUGGCUUGGUGUUUCUUCCUCGCUCCCUUUGUGGUCUCUCGGCCCUUGUAUCUUAGUAGCAGUAGUGGCCAUAGUUGCUAGAGUGGAGUUUUAGGUAGCAGGUUCUUUCUUGUAUGUGUGUUUUUCUUUGUCUUUUUUUUCGUCCAACAAAAUUUCGGCAAAACUCUUGCCGCCAUUUAAAAAAAAAACUAACAGUGAUGGCAUAACCAUAAGGUAAUUCUGUUGAAUCCUUGUUUAUUUGACUGAUAAGUGAUAAGACAUGACAUAAAGUACUGUUACUGAUUUGUUGUGAGAGAAAAACAAUGUUGAAUGGCCGAUUGAUUCGGCUGAUAAGCUCAAGCACCUCACCCUCGGCUCUAACCCUUCAUGCGAGGAGGUGGCUGUCUGGACUAAAGGACAACUCCCAAAACCUGUGCUUGGGCUUUGUUUAGUUCAACACAUAAAAAAUUUCCACACAUCACGUCUAAACGACUUUCUUUUAAGAUAUGGAGGGAAUAGGAUAUUAUUAAAAUAGAUCAUGGACACAUCUAAAUUAUUUUAUGUCCAUAUAAGGCACAUCGGUCUGGGUGCAUUGCUCUUAAAAUAUUUUGCAUGAAAGAAAAAAUGGUUUCGAUGAAAGCAUGCUUGUAGAUAUCUGAAGGCUAACAUUUAAUUUGGUUUAAGAAUGUGCCCAAUAUAUGCCUAAAAACGCUAGAGGACAGGAUAAAUUACAGACCAGAUGAUCGAUGAGCUACUAAACAAACUCGAGCACUAGAACAAGGAUCGGGGUUAGGCUUUAGUUCAUCCAAAAACCAAAAACUUUUUAAAAUUAUCCGUCACAUCCAUGCAUGGACCAUUAAAUAUAGAUGCAAAUAAAAACUAAUUGCACAGUUUGCCUGUAAAUCGCAAGACGAAUCUUUUAAGCCUAGUUACUUCAUGAUUGAACAAUGUUUAUUAAAUAAAAACGAAAGUGCUACAGUGUCAAAAUCCAAAAACUUUUUGGAUGUCUUACAAACAACGACCAACGAAUACUAUUCAUGGUCUGGUCUGGCCGGACUGAGCUGAGAGCUCGUUGUUCUGAAAACUCAGAGCCAGAAUGCCAGAGGAUUGAACAAUCCUCCAGAAUCGCAAGGUCGCUUGUACAUCUUACACGCGAGACCUCGUUGCAGCACGCUAGUCCGCAGCUGCCCCUCCUUAUUGUACUUGACACCGAACGUGGUCAGGUUAAGAAUACGCCGGCGCCGAGGCCGUGGCCGGGGCGGCCAUACCAUAUCUUCAGCACUGUCCAGAUGCUCGUCGUCCUUGUGUAAGAGAAGCUCAACGAGGCAGAACUUGCUGUGGCCGCCCAUGUAAACGAGCCUGGCACCCAGACGGAGCCGCUCCGGGUAAUCCUCGCGGAACAGCGUGUCCUCGCCGAUCUUCCAGGACGGCGGAGGUGUAGCGAGCUCACCAGCGGCGACGACGUCGCAGGAGCAGAGGCGGCCGGCGUUGUCUCUCUCGCCGCAGAGGCCGACCCACGCUUCCAGCUCGGCGUCGAAGUAGGCCUGGCCAGCGAACGGCAGCAGCCAGUCGCCGCGGCGUGUCCACUCGAGGCGCUCCGCGUCCAGGGAGAAGGUGCCGGAGCGGUGGCUCCGCCGGGAAUCCGCGGACACGAAGAGGGUGCGGCCGUCCGGGUGCAGCGCGUAGCACUUGACCUGGGUGAUGUAGAACGGCAGCCGCUGAUGCUCGACGGCGGUCCGGGUCCAGGACCACGGCGCCUUGCUGCCGUACGGCGGCUGGUCGCCGAGGUAGAAGGCGUCGACGUCCGUGAACGCGAAGAGCUUGCCGGCAGCGGAGGCAAACAAGGGCAGGCCGAAGUCUUCCCUGCUGUGGGCAGGGGAGGGCCACGGGCAGAUCGACAGCGCCAGCGUGCGCGUGUCGAAGGCCGGGAUGCCGAGGCUGGCGGCUUCGCCCGGCUGCAUGGCCAAGAUCUUGGUGCCGUGUGAGACGACCGGGGAAGAGUAGAAGCAGUCGCGCUCGUGCUUGGCUUCUAAGCGGGCGACCGGCGGCUCCGUGAAGCGCGUCGGCGGCGGCUGGUCGGUGCCGGCGGUGUCGUCGUCAGAGUUGAAGUCGUCGACGUCCAGCCUGCGGAUGCUGUAGCCCCUCUCCCAGUCGUCAAGCAGCAGGUACAGAUGCUUCUUCCGCUCAGGCGCCGGUCGCUUGGCGGUGCCUUGGCAGCCGCGCUCCUCCCAGCCGCGUUGGCGCUUCGCCAUAUAAGCUGUCUUUCUAUCUCCCGUGUGACUCGUAUCUCUCUCUCCCCUUCACGAACAAGGCUGCGGCUGUAUUUAUCGAUUGUAAAGAGGGUGAAUUCGUAUCCGAAUCAAAUCAAAAUCGAUACUUAUGUAAAUAAAAAAAAUAAGUUUUAUAUUUUCCUUUUUUUUAGAAUCAAGUUUUUAUAUUUACCUGGCCUGUAAUAAUCCUGUAAAGAAAAGAAGCCCGACCGCAGUAAGAACUCGUCGGAUCAAAAAGAUCGCAAGGCGAAGGGGACCGUGAGUCCGUGACCCGUCCGCACGGAUAUAUCCUGCAAUCCUAAUUUUUAAUACUGUACAUCAUUAUUUUAGAAAUAGUGUAUGAAAAUUUUAUUUUUAUAAAUUUUUUUAUUAUCUUUUUUCAUUAAUAUAAUAUCACAUCAAUACAUUUCAUGUUUAUAAAACUCUAAUAAAAUUUAUUUAAGGCUAGCUUAAUGGAGAGCUCGAUGUCGUACCGGGCCAAAGGGAAAGCUUGUCGGCCUGUAAUAAGUACUGCAGGACUGCCUGCGAGUUCUGCUCUCUCUCUCAAAAAAAAAAACCCUACAAGUACUGCCUGCUUGGAGGAUAUAACAGGUUUUGUCGACUUUGGGCGCAAGACAGACUUGUUUGCGCAACGUACGUAAUUCUAUAUCUAUCAAUUUCUUUUGGUUGAAAAAAAUCUACCAGUUUCUAUUUCUAUCUCUAAUUUUUUUAACUAGUAGAAAUGUAUGCGCAACACACACGUCUAUCGGAAAAAUUCUUCAUAAUCGAGCAAUAGUGAUAUAACAAUCAAACAACCCAGUUCAUAUUUUGUUUGAGAAACAACAAGUCAGUUAAUAUAUUAUAUAAGUAAACAUAAACCCUAAAUAGUUCUAUAAUUAAGUUGUACAUGAUCCAAUGAGUAUAAAAUUUUUACUACUGUUCAAGCAUAUAAUAAUUAGCCCACAAUAAAAAUUUUACCGCAAUCGGACUAUAGAAACUACAGUUAUGAAUUAUUCUAAUUAACUAUAGAAAAUAAUAGAUCAAAAUAUAUAGCAAAAAUUUUGUACUAAAGCAUAUCAUAUUAUAUAUUCAUUGUGUAGAUUUGCUCAUGUAGAGUACAACAAAAUUAGAUUUUUCAUUUUACGAUUUUCCUAUGAUUUACUAUAAUUUUUCAAAGAUUUAGCCAAAAUAAAUAAAUAAAAAAGAAAAGGACAAAACCGCCUUUGAAACUGCUUAUAACUGGAUCAGGAAGGUAAAACACACAGUUUUAAAAGCUGAGGGAGGUGAUUUUUCCAGUUUUAGAGUUCAGUGAGGAAAAGUGAACUUUCGCAAACGCUGAAGGAGGAAAAAUAAACUUUUUCUAAAAGAAAAAACACACAAUCCACAAAGACCAAAAUAGGCUUUCCAAGGCCAAUUUGUUGCGCAAGCCUAUGUAUAGGCUUUCGAGGCCUAUGUUAGUAUAGUUCCAUUGUUGAAAUUUGACUAUGUAGAGACUUAUACACUCUUAGGCCUUGUUUAGUUUCCAAAAAAUUUUGCAAAAUUUUUUAGAUUUUCCAUCACAUCGAAUCUUUAGACGCAUGCAUGGAGUAUUAAAUAUAGACGAAAAUAAAAACUAAUUACACAAUUUGGUCAAAAUUGACGAGACGGAUCUUUUGAUCCUAGUUAGUCCAUGAUUGGAUAAUAUUUGUCAAAUACAAACGAAAGUGUCACUAUUCAUAUUUUGCAAAAAAAUUUGGAAGUAAACAAGGCCUUACAUUGGGGAUUAAUAUUUAAUUCUUUAGAAUUGACAGGGGGCGUGUGAACAUGUACCCCCACUACCACAAAUUAUGAGGUCCACUCUCCUACUUGUGAAGAUGGUAGACCAGCACAUCCACAAAUUAUGAGGUCCACUCUCCUACUUGUGAAGAUAGUAGAUCAGCACACCCACAAAUUACGAGGUCCACUCUCCUACUUGUGAAGAUGAUAGACCAACACACCCACCAAAUGCAAUGUAGGCCACUCAUCUAGGCCAUGGGCCUUCAUGAUCGCCCAUCAACCUCGUCCGGAGCAACAUUGCCCCUAAACCGCAUUAUGUAGCUGCCUCACCCUCUCGCUCUUCACGCUGAGGUGGGACUAAUUCCCGCGCGUCACAGGGUCCUGAGUCCUGAGAGAGAAGCUAUAGCAUCAUUCUGCCAUUGGAUCCCUCUCGGACGGUUGAGGGGCUUCACACGGCAACCACUCAUGUAGCAGGAUUGGACUAGGCCAACCAGAAAUAGCGCUAUAUGAGCCCAGCUUGGUUAGUGGCCUUUCUAGUUUAUUACCAAUCUCUAAACUUUUUUAAGUUGGUUUGGGCCUAUCUUUUGCACUCGGAAUUUGCUAUGACAGGAUUGGGACUUGUUCCAUGGCAACUCAAAUUUUAUUCUUCUCUCAUUUUCUUCCCCUUGCCCUUUUAUUCUUCGCAAAUUUUGCUAUUGAACAUGUCAAGCGAUGUCUCUUUCUUGACCGCAUCUAUUUUCGAGCGAUUUCUAAAAAAACACUCUAAUUUUUGACAAAUUGGUUGGUGGAUAUUGUGUCUAACAAAAUACUUUUAUAAAAUAGAUAUAAAAUCAUAUAAGUGUCCCAAAAUUAUAGCAUAAAAUCCUCUAGACUCUACAUGAAUACAUGAUGAGAACCACAUAUUAAAAUAUUGUUUUUGCACCGAGAGUGAUUAUUUUGUCUCUCUUCAUAAAUAAACAAAGUUAACUAUGGUUAUUUUGUUCAUGUAUUUGUAGGACGCUAAAUUUUUUGGAAAAAACACAGAAUACGUACAUCACCAAAUCAUGACUAUGCUAAAAAUAUAUAUCAGCCCAAAAUAAUAUGUUCAUAAUGGUUCAAACUUAGAUCCAGAAUGCCAAAGGCUCCAUUGAUGGCUCUGUGAAAUCAUGAGGUCGCUUAAACAUCAUGCAAGCUUGAGCUUGUCGCAGCAUGAUCUGCAGGAUUCCUGUUUUAUUGUACUUGAGGCCAAACGUGGUCAUGUGGAGCACACGGCAACGCCGAGCUGGGCAGUGGUCACAGAGUUCAAUCUUACUAGUAGGGUCAUCCUCGUGGAACAGCGACUCAACGAGGCAGAACUUGCUGUCACCCAUAUGAAUAAGCUUGGCGCCCCGAUGCAAUUCCGACUCCUUGCUGAACAUCUUAUUCAGGCCGAGCUUCCAAGAUGGAGGAGG
rnacentral:lncRNA from 1 species